rnacentral:lncRNA from 1 species
UGCGGACAUCCCUUGUCGAAAAAGUGUGAAUCUUAUGUUAGGACACAAGAAGAAGAUGACGAAGAUGAGGAUGAAUGUCACUUUUUCUGUGGUUUUACUUGGGAAGCGGUGGUGAUUGGAUAUGGGUGUGGAGUGGUGCCUGCAUUUAUCACUGGCUACCUGAUGUUGCUGGCACGGAAACCAAAAUGGUUUGCUGGAAUCAUUGGCAGGGAAUUGGGGCUCAAGAUCAGGAGGAUGGAGAUUAGAAUGCGAUACUAAAGGUUUGCUGUAAUCUGUAUCCCAUUCCCAGGUCUUGAAAAUUCUGUAAUAAUAUAUAGUAAUAUCUGCUCUCAUAUAAUUCUAUAUUUGCAGAUUCAGAUGGGACAAGCAGGAUCAGAUGCAUUGGAAUCAACCACUAGUACUUCAGCUGUUUUGUCAUUCUAAAUUUUACAUUUUACAAUAAAAGUCAAAAGAUACAAGUUAUGUAGUAUUGUUUUGUUCCAGCCUCAGGCUCUUCAUUUCUAAAACAUGUUUGCGGAUGCUUUACAAUGUACAAUUUACAAUAUAUCAAAGUUUUUAAUAUACACUACCAGAACUGGGUUACAUUGCAGUGUUGUCGCCAUUUUUCUGAAUUUCACUAGUUGGGAAGACUGUAUAAAUUAUGUUAGAGUCGCUGCUAUCAGUGAUCGCGUUCAACAACUUAUCUCAAACUGGUAAGAUUUACUAAAUUUUUAAUUUCACAAGCUGUUGAUAGAAUAGAAGAUGCCUCAGUUUAAGGAUCGAGAAUGUAUUAAUGAACUGUCCCAGCCCUGAGAAAUUCUCUUUGAUGGGGCUGCAGUUUCAAUAAAUCGCCUCUUGUACUCAGCCAUCAUACAGUGAACCACCGUCCGAUGGUCGAAAUUGGCGAAGCAUGAUGGCUUUAAAUCAGCCCAUAACCUGAUGGGGUGGCAUUUCUGUUCCCCAUUAGUACCAAUGCAGGGUGUCCCCUUCCAAAGCUACUCUGCAACAAUUUCCAACAUCUCGUAUUCACUUAACCCGUUCAGUAGACAACAAGGUUAGGAGCAAGAAUGAGUCGGUGUCUGGACAUGAGAUUAGGAAUACUAUUACCUCUGACUUCUGAGGCCCGUGACAGAUCGAAGAGGCAUGAAAGUUGGGGACAGGGGACGGCUGGUGCAUUGGAAUGAAAGUAAAAAACUUUUUCAGAGCCUGAUGCUCUCAAGGAUGCAGUCUAAUGAACAAGCGUAAUGAUGUCAUGUUAACUGUCAACCACCUAGUCAAAAUUACUUGAAAUGAUGAAAUUUAUGACAGUAAAUUUAUGAUGCUCUGAGUUUGUUGAUCAACCAAGCUAUGUUGUAGGCAGCUCUUAUCUGAUCUGCAAUCAAGUUAAUGAACCACUACCUCAGUUCAACAUUUUACAUUUUACAGCUCAGAAUAAAAGAUUACAUGUGUAUUAAUCUGAUCAUCAUUUGUUUGAUCAAUUUAGAAGUUCGGCUUUGUUUACUUCUAUCCCGGGCUCUUCAUUUCUAGAGCAUAUUUGUUGAUACUUUUUAUUGAACGGUUAAGAAUAUACCAUAGAUUUUUAUAUUCGGCGUAGAUGAUUUUAUGUCCUGAUUUCAUUCCAUUCAUGAACUAAUUAAAAAUUUGAAAGUGGGUCAUAUCUGGCAGUGAUGCCAGCCCUUCCUGACCUGCAUUUCAUGACCACAAACUCCAAUUCUGCCCAAAAAUUGCAGCUGUUUCGUAAUAUUUUUCUACGUGCUCUUUUGUUUGGACUUGUUUGCUGGACCAUGCAUAUGUUUUGAUACAUCUUUGUUGAUGUUAACACUCUUGUGUCAGUUACUGGACUCAUUGUUAGUAGCCCAUUCUUUACGGCAGACAUUGAAUUGGAUUUACUUGAAGAAAUGAAGGAUUAAGAAAGUUCAGAACAAUUUGUUGAUUAUUUCCUUCCCUAGAAACUGCACUCCAGCAUCAAAGUACCUUUCAAAGACUCCAGACAUCAUCUCUUGAUUAUCAAAGACUUGGUCUUGCAUAUACUGAUAUACCGUGAAUAUAGGUUUCUUUCAUUUCCUUGAAAUUGCAUUUUUUGAAGUAGCUUUCCAGACUCAUUCCCGUCACUUCUCAAAGUCUUAUUCCCCAUCAAUACAUACACAUAAUAUCACACCAAUUUGCUCAUGCUCAGAUGGGCUUUUCUUACAAACCACACAUGUUCACUUCUCAUAGUCUUAGUCCUCGUUAAUAUAUACAGAUAAUAUCCCACCAAUUUGCUGGUGCUACAAAUGGGCUUCUCCUACAAGUCUACAACUACACAUAAUCGGAGAAAAGUCUGUCAAAUGGAUCUUGAAAGACCCUUCUGCAUUGAUUAUCAAAGUAUAUUAUCUGUUAACAUAAAUGUAUUUUAUCAAAGUACUCUCUAAAUAAAAACUAGUAAUAGCAGUUACACAGUAAAAAUUUUUCCUCAAACAAUUACCACCUCAAAUGAGAUAGGCAACCUUAGAUUCUCCAAAAGUGCUUAUAUUGCAACCCUUGUGUAAUGACUAAUAACAGUCAUGAUUAGUAGACAGACCAUAAUUGCGAUGGUUCGAACUUUUUUACUUGAGCUGGAGAGAAGACUUUGAACUGCAGUGUUAGCUAGGAGUUUUUGCACCGUUCCUUUCCCUGUCUUGAAAUUGCAUUUCAGCUCCAAAAGUAGAUUUCAGAGACUGAUUCAUGCCAUCUUUUAAUUUUCAAUGGCAUAGUCGCGAUGACACUCUCACUUCUCACAUUGGAAAACUUUUACCAACACAAUGAAAUUUAUAAGAGUAAAAUGCAAAGCGGUGGUUAAAUUUAUAAGAGUUCUAUCGAAGUCUAGUUUACCUAAAUAACUGCAAAAUGGUUAGGGUUGUUCACGAACCGAGCCGAGCCGAGUUUUGACCGAACCGAGCCAAGCUUUAAUUUUUUUUCUGACGAGCCGAGCCGGGCCGAGCUUUUUUAUCGAACAAAAUUUGUGUUCAAGCUCGGCUCGUUAACUAACGAGCCGAACACGAGCUUGUUCGCGAACAAAUACAAGCCGAACCGAGUAGAAUCGAGUCGAGCCGAGCCAGAAAAAAAAUAAGAACAAACCGCUAGUUGACUCUUAAAAUAGCUAACCAAAUAAUUUUAUUUUUUUUUAAACUUUGUUUAUAUCACUAAAAUGUAUAUAUGUUAACAUCCAUACGGUUGGAUCGGUAAGAAAUAUUUUUUAAAAUAUUGAAACACUAAAUUAGGAUUAAACACUAGUUAGCAGUACUAUUUAACCUUCUACUUGACUGUUAAAAUAGCAAACCAUAUAAAAUUAUUAUUUUCCGAAAUUUUGGUUACAUCACUGAAAUAUAUAUAUAUUAAUUAUAUGUUGAAUUCUGAGUUCAAUAACAUAUAUAAAUUAUAAAAAAAACCCCGAAAAUAUUACAUUUUUUCGAGCUUUAACGAGCCGAGCUCGAGCCGAGCGAGCUCGAGUCGAGCUCGAGCCGAGCUCGAGCCGAACAUACUAAAAGCUCGGCUCGAGCUCGUUUACUUAACGAACAAUUUUUUGUGUUCGUCCUCGAGCUCGUUAACUUAACGAGCCGAGCCGAACGAGCUCUUAACGAGCCGAGCUCGAGCUUGUUCGCGAACAGCUCGGUUCGUUAAGCAGCCCUAAAAAUGGUGAAACAAACUAGGGCUUAGAAAAUGGUACAAUUUGCGGUUUUGUAUCUAUUGGGCAUCUAUUUUGGUGUGCUAGUCAACUUGUAUGGUUCUUAAAGUUUACAACUUGAAACAGUUAAUAUCAAAUGUCAAAGUGAAAAUAUGUGUAGUUUUAACUUCACAAUAUUUUCUUGGUGCGGGCUAUGUAAGUUAUCUUUUACAUGGUGAAUCAAGUUAUGAUACUCAGAAUCAAUUAUGUUUCACUUUCGUAUUUUCCACCUGGUCGUAAGAUUUGUAGUUUUCCUUCGCUAUUGUAAAGGUUGUGUUCUAUUAAGGGUGAUAUAUGCGCACCCUAAAUUAAUUUAUGCACACUUUACCUUCUGUUUCAUAUCAAAUUACCCUUGUCUUUUAUCAUUUCAACCAAAUAUUUUAUUAAUUCAAAGGGGUAAUUUAGUACAAACUAGAUGAAAGGUGUGCAUAAAUAAAUUUAGGGUGUGCAUAAAUCAGCACCCAAUGUAUUUAGUGAUUCCACUGAUGAUAAUGUUAAGCAAUUAACAGGUAUUAAAAUGCUUUCAUUAUAAUGCAACUUUAUACUCCCUUUAUCCCAUUUUAACUGAGGUAAAAAAAACAAUAUCUACACCCAUUAAAAAAAAUUCAAUUUUUAUAUCAAAUAAAAGUUUAGAUUCUAAAAUUUUAAUUGAUGAUAUAAAUUUUAUAAACAAUAAUUAUGUUUAUAUGUGAUUUUCUUAACAUUUCAAAAUACAUGUAAAAAGGUCAAAAGUAGUUAAAAUGGGACGGAGGGAGUAUAUUUUUAUUCAAACUCGAGUCUCCCGUGAGUGGAGCUCUUAAUAUCAUGCGAAGUUAAUAUUCUCCUAAAAUCUCAAAAUGUUAGAUAGAAUGACUUAUAAAAAAAUUGAAGAAAAGUGGAGUUUUAUUAUAAGUUUUAUCCGUGUUACAUACUUACAUUGAAUAUCUGGUAGUAACGCAAAAAAUUUGGUCUCCUCUAUGUAUUUUUGCUGGCUUGGUCGAAUCAGUUGGAUUGCUGGUAUUUGAAUAAUCUAAUUUUUUCAGAAAUAAGAAUUUAUUUCUUGAGAAAAGUACAUAAAACUACUAUACUUUUUUGGUCUCCUCUAUGUAUUGUUUUAUUUUAUAAGUCGUUUAAGGUAUUUUCACACAUAUUAAAAAACUUCAUUGUUGCAUAAAAAAGUAUUUAUUAGUCAUUUCUUUUUCAUUAUUAUCCUCAUUUAAUGUCUCUUUUCUCUCUUUUUCUAUUGACUCAUAAUAUUAAAUAAGGGUGAUAAAAGUCAUUAGAUAAUUUAAAUUAUUCUUGAAAAAAAAAAAAGAACGACCUAUAUUUAUGAAUAAUAAUAUUUUCUAAAAUGAACUAUAAAAAAACAGAUGGAGUACUGUAUAUCAAGUGGAGAAGCAAGACUAAAGUGCAGUACUCCUAAGCCCACAUUGUACGGCGGUAGUACAUUUGAUUUUAUUCGGGGAAAACCAUGUUUAUGGAUUAUCUCAUCUGAAAGACCCUAUCCAUCAUCUUCCGAUUCUCAGAGUCUUGGCCUUCCAUUCCAUGCACUGCUCUGCACGUGCUUCUGUUUGAGAUCAAAAUCACCUGCCUUAAAAAAUUUGUUUCUUUUGUAGUCUAAUCUCUGUCCCAAUCAAAUAUAUACCUUAACUGUGCACGUAUUUUGAGAUUUUAAUAAAAUUUUGUUGUAAAAUACUUUUUAAAAUUUUUUUUUUUGAAUAAAAAUUUAAACCUCAAAUUUUUAUUCAGUUAAGGAAAAUUUUAAAUAAUGUUUUGUAAUUAUACUUUAACGAAGCCUUAAAAAAUAUACCAAAAAACAGCGUAUACAAUUCAUCAGACGAGCAACCGCCAACAAGAAACACCACCGACAAUAAUAAACAAGAUUAGAAUGCAUAAUAUUCUGCAUUGGUCGAUAACUAUCAUUAUUAAUUUCUUCCUGCUGCACCACCGACAAUAAUAAACAAGAUUAGAAUGCAUAAUAUUCUGCAUUGAUCGAUAACUAUCAUUAUUAAUUUCUUCCUGCUGAGAAUUGAAACCACGCCCUCUGGCAAUUCCAAAAUGUUCCCUUUUAUAUUUAGCAAAAAAUAAUGAAUGGUGCUCCCAUUUUUUGACUAACCCAAAAACUCGAUGAUGGGCAAAAAUUGCACUAAUAUUAGAAUGAUGGUGUUUAGACAAGUUCUUCAUUUCAAAUUUUAAAUAUUGAAAUAAUUAGAAAUAUAAUAUAUAACUAUAUGACAAACACUCUAAUUCAGCAAGAAUCUUAUUUUUUGUAUCAAUUUUUCAAUAAUUUCAGGUGAAUGGUAAUUUAAUAUAUAAUCAAAUUUUAAAUAUUGUAUAGUUUUUGUUUUAUAUUUUAAUAAAUUUCAUAAUAGUGAGGAUAUGAGUACAUAUAUACAUCAACAGAAGGGUCGUUUGGGUAAACUUUAAAAAAGUGACUUCUUUCUUCAAAUAAAAAUGUGCACUAUAUUCCGUCAAAAAAAAUGUGCAGCAUUAGUAAGAGGUAAGUCUAGACUUAAAAGUGAUUAAAAUUUUUUAAGGAAAAGUAGAAGUUCUGAAAAUAAAAGUUAGAAAUUUUGGCUUCUUACAGGUGUUUCUGACUUUUUACAAAAUUAUAAGCCGACUUUCUUAGAAAAAGAAGGCGGAAGCUGGGGCAGCCAAACAAACACAUGAUAUGACUUGAUAUACAAAAAAAUUACAUUUAAAUUACGUUUAUAACACAAAUAAUCUCAAUUUAAAAAUGAUGAACAAAGAGAUAUGAGAUAUAUUGAAAAAUAAUUGAAAGCAACCCGUGUUUUGCACGGGUUAAAAAGCUAGUUCUAAUUAAAGGGAAAAAAGCCAUCGACUAAAAUUGAACACGGAUGGGAAUUAUAAGAAGCAUAAGCAAACAAACUUUUCUCUACAAUAAAAGGUGAUGGGUUGAAGUCAAGAAAACACCGAUUCAUCUUUGUACAAAGUUAAAAAUACUAACGGCUCUUUGCUUAUAGCACUACAAGAAAACUCAUUUUAAUGACAGAAAUUCUGUUAACAUGAUAAGGAUUUUCGUUGGUAAAUCACCGCCAAGGGAAUGAUAAUGAAAAUAAUUGGUUGGCAUAUAGUUGAUCGGGAAGUUCAUGCUAACGGAACAAAUUCGUUGCUAAAUUGGUUUCUUUUGAUAAAAGAUGAUGGGUUGAAGUCAAGAAAACAAACACAACACUUUUACAGAAAGUUAAAAAUACUAACCGCUCUGUGCUUAAAGAGUGGCAUAAGUAAGCAGUUCUCCGUGUGCUAGAAAUUCCUUCAUUUCUUGCUCUUCUAAGCCAACAACAGCUCUAAUACCAUCAUUCGCGGUAUCCAUCAGAGUGAUGACAUCAACCAUCGGAGUGUCCACAAGCACAGCUUUAACCGGCUUUCCCCACCCGAAAUCCAUGAUAUCAUAUAGCGGGAAAUUACACAUGCUUGUAAUAACGUAGAACCUGUACUUGUGUUUUGUGAACUCAAGAAACUCAGUCUCCAUUUCGUGUCCUUCCAUACUCUUGAUUCCUUUUAGCUGUUCCCUCUCUUUCCUCAUUCGUGCUACCAACGUUCUGUACUUUUUGUCCGCCUCUGUGGUCGCUACAAUGUGGUUUAGAAUCUGGAAAUUCCCCACAGUUGUUUCUUGCAGUGGCGGAUCAAUCAUAUGCCUCACAUUGACAGCCCGCAUUAAAACGGAUCCAUUAUGCACUCCAGCAUUAGUCCUAUCUGCCACGCUUACAAGACAUCUGUAAAGGAGUGCAGUCAGAAGCUCGUUGCGGGUGUAUUUUUGAUCUUCCACUACUCCAUCCAGCUUAUCCUCGUUAUUCACCACAAUCUUCAGUUCUGCUAGCUUUGUGUUGGGAAACACUAAUUCCUUCGUCGUCCAAUUCUUAUCUGGAAAUAUGAUGGUUUCGAUGGCAUUAAUAUCAUAGGAUAGAGGCAGCAGAGCAUUCACCAGAACGGGACAGAGAUGUAACAGUUUUCGGUGAUCACCAGAAUGGAGUGACAGAGUGGCCCAAUACCUUAAAAGUGUGCAGGUAGUCAGAGCAUCACCCAGAAGGUGAGAAAGGCAAAAAAUUGCUGACGAAAAAAUGUACAAACUAGUAAAAAAUGAAAAUCACUUCUGGUAGUAAAAAAAGUCUAAACUAGAACCUAGUUCAGCCCAAUAUUUUAGCAUUAGUUUUAACUGCAAAAAUCACUAAUUUGUACAUUAUUAAUGAUUAAUUUUUAAAUAGAAAUAUCACAAAUAAAUAAAUAAAUAAAUAUAAUUAAAAAAUUAAAAAAAUCAUCAAUUUUCACCAAAAAGUCGUAUUUUCCCAACUAGUUCUACCAUGGAACCAUAUAUAUUUGUCCAAAGUGAUUUACUGUUCAAUAUCAAGUCUAAAAAAAUACACAUAAAACACUACCUUAAAAGUGUGCAGGUAGUAAGAGCAUCCCCAAGAAGGUGAGAAAUGCUAACUGCUACAGCCAUCCCUCCACAAUCGAAACGGUUGAGUUGCACAUACAUUAUAUUACCCGAAUGCUUCUCAGAAAACUGAUUCCGAAUUGUGCAAGGUGGAAACAGAUGGCCUAAUCCGUCUUCUUCCUUGACUGCAGCUCUAUCCUGAACCUCCGACAUAUUGCAUCCGAUUUGAGCCUCGAUAAAUUGAACGCCUUCAUCGUUACAAUCGACGUACGAUCCAGAGCAUAUCCUUCCUGCAAAUGGAUAGUACUUGGACAGUGUCUCCGACAAAGACUUCUUCAGUAGAUCUGAUGCAUUAUCAGGGACCCGUUCACGAAUGGGAUCAGAGUUGUUUUUGGGAUAGAAAAAAAUCAGUGGAAUAUAAAAAUUUGGAACCAUGCGAUCAUGUAAAGGAAUAUUGUAUCGUUUGAGGUUCGAGGGAGUUGGAGAAGCUGGUUUAAUGCUGCAGGAAGAUCUUGAGAUUACAUGCAGCUGCCUUCUAAAUACUAAUGACAACCUCAUCAAUCCUUUAAACGUCAUUUUUAACUUGCCAAACCAAACUUUGAUGUGUAUAUCAGAUAUGAGCUGGUUUAAUUGGGGUAUUUAUACAGAUUUAUAAGAGAAGAUUACAGCCCAUGCCAAAAGACUUGGCGGUUGAAGCUGGUGAGAUGAUAUAACUCCUGAUUAACCGGAAAUCAGGGAUUAAUCGUAAGGAUUAAUCAGAGUGAAAAUCGGUUUUAUUUUGAAUAUUAAAAUAUUAUUUUUAAUAUUUAUUUAUUACUAUAUUAAUUAUUUAAUAAUAAAUAUAUUUAAUAUAUCAUAAAUUUUAUAAUUGUUCAUAUUUAAAGUAAAUAAGUAGUAUUCAAUUUUAAUAAUUUAUUAUAUAUAUAUACUUCGCUUGAGAAAAAUUUAUACGGAUUAAUCGAAUUUUAAAAAUCGAAUCAAUCGGCCAUCUUGCAGGAGAUUAAUUGGGAAUUCAUCGAUAAAAUCAAUAAUUUUUAAAACACUGCCGGCAACUGUAAGUAUAAAAAAUAGGAAUAAACAAAGAGCACUGGGAACCACAUGCAAGUGAUUGUUUACUGCUGGUUCUACCGGUCUCUGCCAAAAACUCUGAUAAAUACCAGACAAAACUACCAGUCUCCCUUGCAUAAAAUAUCUAAGCUACAUAGGAAUCUUUUUAUGUCUAUGCUACAAGACAUUUUUUAUGACUUGGAUCCCAUUUCAUUUGUGGCAUUGCAGCAGUUCAUUCUUUAUUUCCUGAAUUUUCUCUAUAAUCUUUACCUCAUGCCUCUUAAUUUUUAUUCAAGAUAAUUUUUUUUGCAAAUUACUGUGGUUCUGCUUUUCUUAUCUUUUCUUCUUUUGGCUUUGCUGGUACUUUUCCUUUGCCAGUUUAAUUUUACCUUCAACUUUGAGAAAUAAAUGUAUUUAGUGAUUUCACUGAUGAUAAUGUUAAGCAAUAGGGUUCAAAAUGCUUUCAUUAUAAUGCUACUUUAUUUAUUUAUAUUCAAACUCGAGUCUCCAGCAAGGGGAGCUCUUAAUACCAUGUGAAGUUAAUAUUCUCCUAAAAUCUCAAUAUGUUAGAAAGAGUAAUUUUUUAUUAAAAAAAUUGAAGAAAAGUAGAGUUUUAUUAUAAAUUUUAUACGUGUUACAUUGAAUAUUUAAAAGUAAAGCAAAAAAUUUGGUCUCCGCUAUGUAUAUUUGCUGGCUUCGUCGAAUCAGUUGGAUCGCUGGUAUUGGUGAGAGCGUGAGACAUUAAAGGGAGAUGGGCUGAUCAGAUCAGCUUGGUUGAUAAUGUCUAAAUCCAAUUCCUUAACAAGGAAUUGAUUUUACUCAUGAAAAAAGAGUGAUUAAAAAAAAAGUUUGCAGAAAGUCAAGACUCAAACCCCAUUCUUAUCAAGUCUUCCACUACUCUAUGCACAAUUCAAAAUACACAAAGACCAACCAAAAAGUUCUUGGAAGUAAUCAAAUAAAUGAUACUCUCCAAGUUCUUGUUCUCAAAUCAAACAAGUUUUAUGGUCUUAUAAACACGAGUUCCAAGAUUGUACACCCAUUUCCUAGCUUGACUGCUUGAGAAUCAUUGAUCUUUCGUACAAUGAGUUUUCAGGUGCACUGCCAGAAGAAUAUUUCAGAAACUUUAAGGCUAUGAUGAAUGCGGAAGUGAAUAAGAUAUAUCGUAGCUAUAUGGAGCAAGAUUAUUACACUGAUUCCACAGCUCUAGUGAUUAAAGGCAUGGAAAUUAAUUUAAAAAGAAUAUUGACUGUGUUCACAACUAUUGAUGUAUCAAAAAACAAUUUUGAUGGGGAGAUAGCUGAAUACUUUGGAAAUCUGGUAUCACUCAGAUUUCUUAAUCUUUCUCACAAUUAUCUCACAGGCCAUAUACCACGCUCGAUUGGAAAAUUGACUGUGCUGGAGUCACUAGGCCUCUCAUCCAACCAACUUGAAGGAGAAAUUCCUCAGCAGCUCACUAGUGUAUAUUCACUUGCAGUUCUCAAUCUGUCUUGCAACCAACUUAGAGGACGUAUUCCAGAAGGGUGGCAAUUCGAUACGUUUGAAAACAGCAGCUACGCUGGUAACUUUGGGCUGUGCGGACAUCCCUUGUCGAACAAGUGUGAAUCUUAUGUUAGGACACAAAAAGAAGACGAAGAAGAUGAGGAUGAAUGUCACUUUUUCUGUGGUUUUACUUGGGAAGCAGUGGUGAUUGGAUAUGGGUGUGGAGUGGUGCCUGCAUUUAUCACUGGGUUACUGAUGUUGCUGGCACGGAAGCCAAAAUGGUUCGAUGGAAUCAUUGGCAGGGAAUUGGGGCUCAAGAUCAGGAGGAUGGAGAUUAGAAUGCGAUACUAAAGGUUUGCUGUAAUCUGUAUCCCAUUCCCAGGUCUUGAAUAUUCUGUAAUAAUAUAGUAAUAUGUGCUCUCAUAUAAUUCUAUAUUUGCAGAUUGGAGAGGCAUGAACAUUUUGGCAUGUAAGUUGAUGGGACAAGCAGGUUUCAGAUUCAUUGGAAUCAACCACUACUUCAGCUGUUUUGCAUCUUUUGUGAUUUUAAAUUUUACAUUUUACAAUAAAAGUAAAAAAGAUACAAGCUCCAUGGACAAGUUUUGUAUUGUGUAGUUCCAGCCUCAGGCUGAUGGUUUAUAAUGUACAAUUUACAAUAUAUCACAAUUUGUAAUAUACAGUACCAGAUGAUUUUAUGGCCAAAUUAUCCUUAAUCGCUUUCAUGAACUAAUGGAAAUUUGUAAAAGCGGGUCACAUUUGCAGUGAUGCCGCUAUUUUUCCUGAAUAUUCCUAGUUCUGAAGAUUGUCUAAAUCAUGUUAGUAGCUGCCAUCAGUGAAUGCAUUCAACGGCUUACUGAAACUGGUAGAGAUACUAAAUUCACAAGUUAUUGAUAGAAUAGAAGAUGACAGAGUGUCCAUGCGUCAGUUUAAGGAUCGAGAUGUGUAGCCGUGACUUGUAUUUUAAAAUUGCACAAGAUGCUUUACAAUGGUAGCAGAGGGCUGCGGAUUUAUUGGGUUAGUUGGAAGCACUCAAGUCGAAUUGGUUGUAGCAGAGCAAGAAGCUGAGCACGACCAUAAGAAUUUGAACUCUGAGGCUAAUUUGACUCUACUUGUAAGCCUUCCACUAGACAGCAAGGUUAGGAGAAAGAUUGAGUCGAUGUAAGCCUUCCUCUGACGCCUGUGACAGAUCAAUGAGGCAUGAAAGUUGGGAACAGGGGACGAUUGGCGUAUUGGAAUGGAAGUGGAAAACUUCUUCAGAGCCUGAUGCUCUCGGAGAUACAAUCUAAUGAAAAAGCGUAAUGAUGAUCAUGACUCCGCCCUUGCUCUAAAUCAGUAAGAUCAACCUCUCUACACAAUUCACUAAUACCACCUCUUUAUAACAUUCUCACUCCUAGGUGAUGAAUAAAGUAUCAAGAAACAUAUUUUGUAUAAUGAAUUAUAUUUUUUAUUAUAUUCCUUUUUUUAAAAUAUAUUGCGUAUUACACUGUUUAUUAAUUCUAUUUGAAGCAAUUAAUUAAUUUUUAGCCGUAAUUUAACUUUCAAGGUAGCAUUAUCAGCAUGAGGAAUAGGCAGAGCUUCCAGAUGCUCUCUUCUGAUAGAUAUCAUUCAGCACUUGCUCUGAGUUUGUUGAUCAACCACGCGAUGUUGUAGGCAGCUCCUAUCUUAUCUGCAAUCAAGUUAAUGAACCACUACCUCAGUUGUUAAGCAUCUUUCAACAUUUCACAUUUUUGAGCAUUUAAUUAAUUAGUCAUCAGUCUUGUAUUUAGCUUGAUCGAACAUAAUUGUUCUCUUCAAUUUCUUUGCCUACUUGUCGACGUGUUUAUGUAGCGUGUCUCUACUCUGUAGCUUACACAUCAUUGAUUCAUGUUAUUUUCCCCUUAGGAACUUGAGAGACAUUUGGCAUCAAAAGAAGCUUCUCUCCCGCAAGAACCAUUUUCCCCUUAUGAACAUUUGACAUUUUGGUGUUGCUGAGAGCGCAGCGACUUUUGAUGAACUCGGCCUGUCUGGCAGACAGGAGGCCUUGUUUCUGGAGUUAAUAUAGCGGAUCUCGAAGAGUUUACCCAGAUGGACCAACUUUGUUUGUUAGUUGGAUGUAAAAGUUGUUUAGAGACGGGUAUUUUGUCGAAGUUUGUAUCUAUUGGGUAUUUCGUCUUUUAGUCAGACUAUGGCUCAUACAGUUUCAUACAGUUUGAAGUUGAUAUCAAAUCUUAGAUUAAAUUACUGAACAUUGUUUCUUGAAUUCGAUAUCGAAUUUUAAACGAAAAUAUGUUCAGUUCUAAUUUAAAAGUUAUGCAAAUUACAUUAAUAAUAUGUGGCCCUGUUUGUUUACCAAAAGCAGAAGCUGCUUCUGGCUUCUGCUUUUCUUGACCCGUUUGUGUAAAGAAGCAGAAGCACUUUUAAUAAACUGAGAAUCCUAACUUCUCUCUCACAGCUUCGGCUUCUUUUCCAAACACUUUAUUCACUUAUUUACUUCUCACUUCUGCUCCACUUCUCUAGUUUAAGCAAGAAGUCACUUCUUUUAAGCUUGCCCAAACGGCCCCAUAAUCUAUUUUGAGUCUCUUGGUCUUCGGUCUUCUAUUGCAGCAUAUCAUGCACAUCUCAAAUGAUUGAAAAUGAACUCUCUCCAAAAGACAAGGGGGUCUGUUGAAGUAGACCUGGAAUUGAUUUUACUUGAAGAAACAAUAAUAGGUCACCUUUUAAAGUUUUGGUCUUUGUCUUUUAUCUCUUAAAGUCUUUGUCGUUUACAUCUCAUACAAUUUGCUAUCGUAUUUAACACUUCACACAAUUCCAUGCUAUCGUAUUGAACACUUCACACAAUUCCAUAAUAUUGAAGAUUUUUGGCUUGAAAUAUUCUAGAGAAUAAGGUUGUACAUAAAAUUCAAUAAUUUAUUUCCUUUCCUUCAAUAUUACAACUCAUAUAUUUGUUGCCAAUGACUCAUUCAAUUCGCAUCAAUUAUUAUCAUCUUCACUUUAUCAAAGAGUCUUGCUCUUCGUCCUUUACAUGCUUUUAUUACGAUCCCCAUGUGCUUUGAAAAUACUUGUGUUAUAGUCCACAUCAAUCAAUACUCCUUAUUAAUAAGCGAAACCACAUUUCAGUGGAACAUCGGUACUAAAAGUACCAAAUUUGAUCAUCUUAUAUCAUAUUUAAUUAUUAUUAUUAUUAUACUCCUAUUAAAAGUAUUAUAUUAUCCUUAGGAGAUUUAUAUUGGUCAGGAAUUUAUAAUAUUUUAAGAUAUUAUAAUUAAAGACGACUUCUAUAAUUAUUAGGAUUUUAUAAUUAAUAUAAACUUCUUACUUAAUAAUGAUAAUCAUUAAACUAUUUUGAAAAAAUGUCGUAUUGGUUAGAAUUUUAUAAUUUUAUUAUAUUAUAAUGAAAAGACUUUCAUAUUUAUUAUGAUUUUAUAAGUAAAUACUUUAAUAUUGGUUAGGAUUUUAUAAUUAUCUUGAUAUUGAUUAGAAUUUUAUAAUUAAAGACUUCAAUGUUAUACUAUUAAAAAAAGAUUUCUAACGUUGUUAGGAUUUUGGAAUGCAACAGUUAUACCACCAAUAAAAUUAUUUAUUUUAAAUUCUUUAAACUCAAAUAAUUUAAUUUAUGAAACAACUCUGUAAAACUCCUAUCAUAUUUCAGCAUUCAAAUAAAUAAAGAUUUAUAUUGAUAUUACUUUUUAUUAAUAUGCCAUAUUUUUCUUUAGUGGAAGAACAUGAGUACCAAAUACCGAAUUAUCAAAAUUUGGUUAAUAUCAUGUAAUUUUAACAUUGUCGUACUCUUCACAAUAUAAUAAUAUUAUUAUAAUAACGGAAAGGGGGUGGUAGCACUAUCAUGAUAAAUGCAAAUUCCAAUGAGAAUAAAAUUACUGUGAAAAUUUUAUAAAUAAAUUAAUUUUAAAUUUAUUUAAUUUAUAAUCUCUAUUAUAGUUUUAUAUUAAUUUGAAAAAUAUCUAUUAAUAUUGAAUAUACAAGAACUUCAAUUAGUGUUACACUUAAUAAUAUUUAUUAGACGUCUAAAAUAACUAUGAACUAAAAAAAUUAAGUUUUAUUAAAAAUGGUUGAAUUUUUUUUCCAUCUAUUUAGAAUAAAAACAACAUAAUAAUUUUAUUAAAAUGAAACUUACCAUUUUAAAAUAAAUUCAUAUAAUAACAUAUAUCCUGAGAAUGUUUAUUUUGAAAAAUAAAACUUAAACAUAAUUAAAUAUUAAUAUGUUAAUGCAUAAUAAGUUUUGUAUCUCAACAAUAAUAAUUUAAAUAACUAUAUCAAAAAUAUUAUAAUUCCAAUAAAUAAUAAACUUAAAAAAUUUAUAUAAUCCCGUGCUUGGCACNCAAAAAUAUUAUAAUUCCAAUAAAUAAUAAACUUAAAAAAUUUAUAUAAUCCCGUGCUUGGCACGGGUUAUAGACUAGUAUUGAUAAAUAGACAAAUUACAAUAUUUAGUUCAUUAAUGAAGAGAUAAGACAUUCAUGUGUAUGUAUUUGAAAAAUAAAAUAUUAUGAAGCUAAAUGAAUAAACACUUCUGAAAAGUAAAACCCGUUUCUGGUCCAUUUUGUAGCUUGAAGAAAUGAAGCAGAAGUCAAGAUUUCCUUGAAGAAACAAAAUUUUAUAAAAGUUAAAAACAAUUCGAUAAUUAUUGUCUUUUUAAAAAACGGAGCACGCAACACUCUUUUAUAUCAUAUUUCAAUUCUUAGAGUCUUCCUUCUACUACUCCAAAAGUGGUUCUAUUAUAGGCCACAUAUUAAUAGAUCGAUACAAAUUUAUUAAAAAGAUCCUUAUUUUCAACAAUCAAUAUCAGUUUGACUACAAAUUUAUCUGAAAUGACCCUUGUUAAUGGACUCUAGCUUAUAGGGUCAAACUUGGCUAUACAUGCCUCGGAGAAAAUUCACCAGUUCGUAGAAGAGACCUUUCUGCUAUCAACUCUAUGAAAAAUGCAGCACUUAUCAUCUAAAUAAAAAUCAGUAAGACUAUCUUAGAUUCUCUGAAGUGUUUAUAUUGCAGCCGCUUGUAUUGAAUACACACAUAAAUAACCACACAUAAUCAGCAAGGUUCGAAUUUUUUUGGUUUAACCAUAUCACCAACAUGAAGAAAAGACUUUCAAGCGUCAUAAUAGCUAAGAGCUUUUAUUUUCAGGAUAACCCCGGUCUAGAUUAUUAUAAAAAACUUGUUUAUAUGGAGACAUAAUAAAGGUCCCAGAAUUUUUUACUCUUCAAGAUUUCCGUUUCUAGCCAAAUUUUUUGACCAUAAAUAAUAUAUUGGUUUUACCUGAAAACAAAAUUUAAAGAAAAUUCAAAUUUUUUUAUUACUUCUUUUCUUUUAUUAUUACUUCUUUUCUUUUAUUUUGAAAUUGCAAAACAGCUCAAAGUAGUUCUAAAAGAAUCAUUCUCCCCGCUAGAAUCAGUUACAAUUAAGGUUGACAAGAUGUUUUAGCUGCGAGUUCUUCAAAUUAUUGCUCGUAAGGUCCACGACAGCUUAGAUAGUCACCAAAACUUUGGCCUGUGGAUUAAGUUGAUGAAAUCUAGUGUAUUAGAAUCAAUGACAGCACUAUUUUAUGGGAUUGAUGCUCACUCUUCAUAUUAUGUGUUUUUCUAAUGUGUGUGUCCAAAUACACACAAUAAACACUAAAUUUGAUAAAAAAUCGUAAUAUUAGUCAUUCCGCUCAUAAAUUUCAAGUGGAGAAGAAAGAGUUUCUCAAAAAAAAGUGGAGAAGAAAGAGCAUCGUGAUUGUCAUUGUACCCUUAAAAUUUGUUCGAUUAGGUUUUUUACAUAGUUUGCGCGUGGUCAUCUGGGUAUGCCUUCAUUAUAUUAAGCCAAUCUAGUAAUUCCAUAUUAAACAAGUUUAAAAUUUUCAAAUUUUGAUCUUAAUAAAAUUGAAAAAAUAGUGAACUUUUUCUUAUUUAUGAUAUUAACAAAUCUCUUACUUUUUUAUUACUGUAUUCAACUAAAUAUUUUUUACAAACCCUCAUAAAUGCAUCACAUCAGUUAUGAAAUUUAAAACAAAUAUAUCCAAUUUCUUCGAGAAAGAUGGUUGUAUAAUUUUUAAUUAAAAAAUUUAAUUAUUUUUAUUUUUAACAUAAUUUACAACUAAAAAAAUAUUAUAUGUUCACUGCUUUGUAAUAUAAUUAAAUAUAUCUUAAAUACAGUUUUUCCUAUAUAUAUGCUAACCUCGAGAGACGUUGAAGAUCAUCCCAAACAAAAUUUGAAAGGGAAAAUGAAAAUGAGGAAUUGCAACCUCUGUUUUUUCACCAUCAGUAUGAUGCUCAUCUUCUUGCAGUUGCAGCACCACCUGGUGGCUUGUUCAUUAAGCCCCCACUUGCAGAAACUUGCCUUGUUCCACUUUAACCAAACCUUCACAAUCACUCCUGGGGAUUGCGAGUAUUAUUCCUACAAAGACGAAGAAUUUUACGAAAUUCCUUCACGGGCAAAGACAAAGAACUGGAGCAUGAGUUCUGAUCACUGCACAUGGGAUGGAGUUAGCUGCGACGACAAGACGGGGGACGUAAUUGGACUGGAUUUAACUUGCGGUCAGCUGGUAGGAGCCAUACACUCAAACAGCACUCUUUUCCAACUCUCUCAUCUUCGCUUCCUCGACCUUUCUUACAAUGACUUUUCCCUCUCCGAUCAGUUCCCUCAGGAAUUUGGCUUCUUUGCAAAAGGAUUGACGCAUCUCAACCUCUCUCGUACUGGAUUAUCAGGGAGAGUUACCUCAGGAAUCUCUCAUUUGCAUAAACUGGUCUCACUUGAUCUCAGUGAGAACUUUGAAGCUGAACUUGAAGCAGAAGUGUUUAAAUCACUAUUGCAGAAUUUAACGCAUCUCAGAGUGCUUAAUCUUCAUGAAGUUAACAUCCCAUCUGUUUUGCCGGUGAAUAUCUCUACUUCUCUAAGAGUUCUUCAAUUGUCGUAUACUCAUAUACACGGAGUAGUACCGCAAGAAGUUUUCCACCUUCCCAACUUGGAAUUACUUGAUUUAUCAAAUAAUCACGACCUGAGAGCUACAUUAUCCAAAGUUAAGUGGGGAAGUAAAGCUACUCUCCAAUACCUUCAUCUUUCAUACAUCAACAUAGAUGGAGGUAUACCUGACUCAAUAGGCUUUUUGGAGUCAUUAGUCAGUUUAGAUCUGCUCGACUGUAAUUUGUCUGGGACGAUGCCAAGAUCCAUUGGACACCUCGUUCAACUUACUCACUUGGACCUCUCUUUUAAUAAUCUCAAUGGCCCAAUUCUAACUUUUUUUACAAACCUUACUGACUUAAGAUAUAUGUCCCUUGGGCUUAACAAUUUUACUGGUCCGUUUCCCUCUUUUCUUGCCCACUCUAGUAAACUAGUUGAGUUGUAUCUUUAUGGUAAUAGGUUUACUGGAUCCGUACCUCGUUCGUUGUUUCACCAUCCAUCGUUAGAGUUCUUGAAUUUGGCAUAUAAUGCAUUCACAGGUCAACUCCAUGAAUUUGAUUCUUCUCGAUCUCGGCUGCAAUCUUUUUCUUGUUCCAGCAAUUUACUCUAUGGAUCCAUUCCUCAUUCAUUUUCUCAACUUGUGAAUCUCACUGAACUAGACUUUUCAUCAAACAGUUUCAGCGGGGUUUUGGAUUUGGAAAUGUUUUCAGGCCUCGGAUUUCUAAAACGUCUUGAUCUUUCUCAUAACAGUCUUUCAGUGAGAAGUACAAUUACGGACACUCUCCCUCCCAAUCUUUACCACUUGGACUUGUCAUCAUGUAACAUGAAAGAGUUUCCUCACUUUUCAAGAGAUGCACACAUCUUCCUGGAUUUUGUAGACCUAUCAAACAAUGAAAUUGAAGGGGAAAUUCCACACUGGAUUGGGUCGAUAGGGAGGUACUCUGUCUACUAUCACAUCCCCUAUCUGAAUCUUUCUCACAACAAACUAAUAGGCGGUCUUGAGCAAUUGCCUUGGGGUCAUAUUAGGUUUCUUGAUCUCCAAUACAAUAAGCUGAAUGGAUCAUUGCCCACCUUGAUGUGUAAUUCCAGCUCUCUUUAUAUUCUAAAUCUCUCUCACAACAAUUUGAGUGGUGUACUACCCAGUUGUCCUACAAAUUUGACUCGUCUUUCAGUGUUGGAUCUGCGGAGGAAUAAAAUUCAGGGAAACAUUCCAGCAACCUUGUCAAAUUUCCGUAACCUGGAAACUAUUAAUUUGAAUGGAAACCGAUUACAAGGAAGCAUUCCUUCUUCUUUUGCUGAAUUUGAUUCUUUAGCCAUUCUUGAUCUUGGAAAUAAUAAGAUAAAUGAUACAUUCCCCCGGUGUUUGGAAGCUCUUCCAAAUCUUCAAGUUCUUGUUCUCAAAUCAAACAAGUUUUAUGGUCUUAUAAACACUAGUUCUAAGAUUGUAUACCCAUUUCCUAGAUUGAGAAUCAUUGAUCUGUCGGACAAUGAGUUUUCCGGUCCACUGCCAGCGAAAUACUUCAGAAACUUCAAGGCUAUGAUGAAUAGUGAUGUAAGCAAAAUAGAUCGCAGUUAUAUGAAUUAUAGUUCCUAUUACAGUGAUUCCACGACUCUGGUGAUUAAAGGAGUAGACAUGGAGUUGGUAAAGAUAUUAACUAUUUUUACAACCAUGGAUGUCUCAAGGAACCAUUUUGAAGGGGAGAUUGUAGAAUCAAUUGGAAAUCUGGUGUCACUUAGACUUCUCAAUUUAUCUCACAAUCAUCUCAGAGGCCGCAUACCAUUCAUGAUUGGAAAUUUGUCAAUGCUGGAAUCACUAGACCUCUCAUUCAACCAACUUGAAGGAGAAAUUCCGCAACAGCUCACCAGUAUAUAUACACUUGAACGUCUUAAUCUGUCAUGCAACCAACUCAGUGGUCGUAUUCCACAAGGUUCUCAGUUUAAUACAUUUGAUAAUGAUAGCUAUGCUGGUAACUUGGGGCUGUGUGGAAAUCCAUUGUCCAAAAAGUGUGAACCUGAUAUUGUGGAGAAAGAAAGUGACGAAGAUGAGGAUGAUGAUUACUUCUUUAGUGGAUUUACUUGGGAAGCGGUGGUGAUUGGAUAUGGGUGUGGAGUGGUGCCUGCAUUUAUCACUGGCUACCUGAUGUUGUUGGCACGGAAACCAAAAUGGUUUGCUGGAAUCAUUGGCAGGGAAUUGGGCCUGAAGAUCAGGAGGAUGGAGAUUAGAAUGCGAUAACUAAAGGUUUGCUGUAAUCUAUAUCCCAUUUGUAGGUCUUCAAUAUUCAGUAAUAAUAUAGUAAUAUCUGCUAUCAUAUAAUUCUAUAUUUGCAGAUUGGAGAGGCAUGAACAUUUUGGCAUGUAAGUUGAUGGGACAAGCAGGAUUCAGAUGCACAUGAAUCAACUACUUCGGUGUUGUAGGCAGCUAGGUUAAUAAACCACUACUUGAGCUGUUAAGCAUCUUUGGUCAUUUUAAAUAUAAAUUGUACAAUAAAAGAUACUUACUCUGCACAUAUUCUAAGUUCCAUAUACAAGUUCUGUAUUGUUUAGUUACUCUGCACAAACUCUAAGUUAGUUUCAACCACUGGGGUGUAAGCAGCCAAGUUAAUAAACCAGCAGUUUCUGUAGCUUUCACAACGUUGCUUCAUAUUAUUUUCCCCCUUGUUAGAUGAGCAAUAUAUUUGUGGAAUGGAUGUACCUGAAUUUGGUAUCCGAAGCUUAGUUAUAGAAAUUGUAGAUCAGCUAGUUUGCAACUUACUGGAAUGCUUUCCAUUGGACUUGAUUUACUCGUAGAGAAGCAGCACGCAAUGUUAAGGAAGGCCUGAUACAUAAUGUAUUUAAGAUAAUGUUUUGCAUCAAUUAUUACAAAAAGCUACUACUUUAAAUUGAUGAACAUUUACUAUAGCAGUACUGUGGUAUUAAAGUGAGUACUAAUAUUAGUGGCGGAGGCAGAACACAAUGUUAGGGGGGCACUUUUUAAUUUUUAACAUUCUAGGGGCAAUUUUUAACAUUCCAGGGGACACAAAAAAUAAUAUUUUGUAGAUUAAUAUUAUCAAAUAGAGUUAAGUUCUAUGGAGUACAUAAAAACAUUAGAGUAUUGGAGUACAAAUCAUAAUUUUUUUUAGUUUGAUUCUAUAUAAUAUCUUUGAAUAUCCAAAUUUUGAUAUAAUCUAUCAUUUAUAAGUUGUGUUGCACAUAAUUGUCAAUUAAUCAUUAAUAUCUUUCAACUUUAACAAAGAUUAAGAUUAUUGUUCUGCUUAUUAGUUAUAUUGCAGAACAUAGAGUCCUAUGAUUUAUAAAAGUAAUUAUUCUACCAUUUGAUCAUGAUGUUUAUGUUGCAGAACAUAAUGUGCAGGUUGUCAAAUAUUUACAAAUAUUAUUGGACAAAAAAAUUGAAAUUUAGAUGACUAAAUUACAUUUUAUCAAACUUUGUACUCCAAUACUCCAAUUUUUUUUUGUACUCCAUAGAACUUAACUCUUAUCAAAUAUAUGGAUCUUAUAUAAAAACAUACACAUUUUUCUGAAACUUAUGAGGGCAUGGGCACCCAGAGGCCCCCAUGUCCCUCCGCCUCUGCUAAUAUAAGAUGUUAGUCGAGUUCGAAGAAGUUUUGGAAUUCUUUUUAUUGAGAGUUUUUGCAAAACGUGGUUAGGAAAUUGAGAAUUUUGAGUUUUAAAAUUAGCUGUAAAAAAUAAUCGGUCAAUUGUAUUAGAUAUUACAUGCAUUUGAGUUUUAAAAUUAGGUGUAAAAAAUAAUGGGUCAACUGCAACAGAAAUGAAUUGGUUUGGUUUCACCCGGAAGAGUUCUGCACUUCACACUCUAGAUUCCAGAAAUAAAAAAAUUCAAAUAUAAAAUGUCAAAUAUUUUAGUUUAUACUCCCUCCGUCCAUUUUAGAUUUUUAGUUGUCACUGCCGGUCAAAUUGACCAAAAUUUGACUAAAAUUUAUUAAUAUUUUAUUAAUUGAAAAAAUAAAAAAAUUAUGUUACCACAAAUUACUUUCAAUCUACAUGAAAUUUUCAAUUUUUUAAAAUAAUGAAGAAGUAACUUGUAAUCUUUGAUCAAAAAUUAGUUAAUUUGACAUAAAAAAAAAAUUGUUACAACUAAAAUGGACCAAGGAAGUACAUAAGAUUUGCUAGUUACCUGCUUACCUUCACUCCUUAUGUCUUAAGCCACUCUUUAUUAUUUUUGAUUACAUAAUAAAUAUGUUUAAACUUUUAACUUUUUAUAUUUAAUAAAUUUAUAUAAUUUAAUUAUUAAAUUUUUUGAUUUGUAUUAAGUUUAAUUUAUAGAUACAUUUAUAUCAAAAUUACUAAAAUCAAUCAAAAUUUUAAUAUUUUGAUUCAGUAACCAGAAUAUAAAUAUAUUUAACUUUUGAAAUGAUAUAUAAAUAGUUUAUGAUUAAAAAAAAUUAAUAAGUAACUUGCACAAUUUCUCUUAAUUACAGUAAUAAAUCUCUUAUUAGUACUUUCAACUAAAUAUUUCUCCCAAACACUUAUAAUUUAUGUCCAAUUUUCAUAUUAUUUCUUUUAGAAAGAUUGUUGUAUUAUUUUAAAUUUUAGUAAUUAAAUCAGUUUUAUUUUUAUGAAUUCCAAAUUUAAAAACCUUAAUAUUUUUGUCACGCUACUUCUUAUUUGUAAUACAAAUUAUUUCUAGAUAAAAUUAAUAUAUUAAUAAAUAUAGUGUAAUUAACUACAUAUAAUACAUUGAAAUUAAAUAAAUAUGCUCUGUACAUUUUUUUCACAUGCAAAAAACUGCACUGUUUCGGUUUAAGCAAAGCUUGAUAAUCAGGACUCCUAGCUGGAAUGGCGAGUAUUAUUCCUACGAAGAAGAUGAUGUUCAUGAUAUCCCUUCACCCCCAAAGACAAUGAAUUGGAGCAUGAAUUCUGAUUACUGUGCAUGUGGGAUGGAGUUAGCUGCGACGAGAAUACAGGGGACCUAACCGGACUGGAUUUAAGCUGCAGUCAUCUGGUGCAUUGGAAUGAAAUUAUAGAACUUCUUCAGAGCCUGAUGCUCUCGAGGAUGCAGUAAUGAACAAGCCUAAUGAUGAUCAUGAGUCAUAACUCCGUCCUCGAGAGCCUGAUGCUCUCGAGGAUGCACUAAUGAACAAGCCUAAUGAUGAUCAUGAGUCAUAACUCCGUCCUUGAAUAAAGUGUCAUGAAACAUAUUUUGUAUUACAUUUUGUAUUAUUGGAAACUUGAUUUGAAACCAAAAUAGUUUGGUGGAAUCAUUGCCAGGGUAUUGGGUCUGAAGAUCGAGGAUGGAGAAUAAAUUGAUUUUGUUCAAAUAUUUAACACAAGCCCAUCAUCAUUAUCCAACACAAGCCCGGUCCAGUAUAGAGUUCUGGCAACUCCAUUGUUGAACACUUCUGUUGAAGUUGGCCUGUCUGGCAGACAAGAGGCCCUGUUUUAGAGGUGAUAUAUGCGCACAGGUAAAAAAUGUAUAUUUCUUCCAAUAGAUUACAUCUCUUUUCUUCAAAAUUUAUUGUAGUUUCAAAAAGUAGCAUUUGAGAACUCAUUCUAUUCCCCUUUUAAAUACUUGGUCUUGGUCAAUACAAACACGAUUAAGACCGGUGUCAAUAUCCCUCAUAAUUUUUCCACUCCUUUGAAUGGCAUUCUACAAUCCACAUAUCAGACUCAUAAAUAAUUAGUUGAAAUCAUUACCAUAGUCCAUAGCGAAAAGACUUUCACCAUUGAACCAUUGCAUAGAUAAUUGAAGAAAGAAACUUCAACAUAUUUGCAUAUCUUUAUCUAUCUUUUUUUCUAGUCAUCAACAGGCACAAGCUGUUGAUUUUUAUAUGUUCUUAAUUGGUAUAAGCAUUUAAGGUGAGUGUUGAUAUUUCUCACUAAUCUUCUUCUGCUCUAAGUGACAUAUUAUUACAAUCCACAAAUUAGUAGACAGACUAAUAUGGUUAGUUGAGACCAUCAAUCUGGAGAACAGACUAAUACAUGUGUAGUAAUCUGAUCAUCAUUUAUUUGAUUACAAUAGAAAUUCGGCUUUGUUUAGUUCCAUCCUCGGGCUCUUCAUUUCUAAACAUAUUUGCUGAUACUUUUUAUUGUACAAUUUAGAAUAUUCCAUAAAAUUUUAUAUUCGGUGCUAGAUGAAUUUAUGUCUUGUUUUCAUUCCAUUCAUGAACUAAUGAAAAUUUUAAAAUUGGGUCAUAUUAGGCAGUGAUGCCACCUUUCUGGACCUGCAUUUCAUGACCACAAACUCCUAUUGUGCCAAAAAAUUCCAGCUGUUUCGUGAGAUUUUUCUACGUGCUCUUUUGUUCGGACUUGUUUGCUGAAUCCCACAAUAGACAAUAUUGAUGUUAACAACUCUUGCGUCAGUUACUAGACUCGUUGUUAGUAGCCCAUUCUUUACGGCAGACGUGGAAUUUACUUGAAGAAAUGAAGGUGUAAGAACAGGGGCGGAUCCAGCCUUCGCAUCUCACCCGGGCUGAAAGCCUGAAACACUUAUAACCUUGAAGGUAUACAGUGGAGGUGAAGAGGGGAAAAAAAUAUAUAUGGUACUGACAGUGACAUGGAAAUAUGGAUAUUAUUCUUUUAACCUGCUGCAGGGACUAUCAGCUGGUAAAUUCAUGUCAAAUCAAUUUUUUUGACNGCCGAGACGAGUCGGCGAGACGGCCGAGACGAGUCGUCGACGUGCGAGACGAGUUGGCGCGAGACGGGCGAAGCGAGACAUCUCCGAGACGAGUCAUGCGUGCGUGCCGAUACGUACGAGCCGAGACGAGGCGUCCACGUUUUCUCAAACCCAGGCUCGUGAUCGCCUCGUCUAUUUNACUAUAACUAAUAAUUCAUGUCAAAAUCAAGAUUAUAAAAAUUAAUAAUAUGACUACAAAAAUAAAAUAUAAACGUAAGGUAAUAACAUAUGGUAAACCUGAAUAUAUUUUAGUAACAAUUGUUUUGACAUAGUUAGAUUAAGGGAUUAAAUUAUUAUAUAAAAUAAUAAAAGUAGCUAUAUAUUAAAAAAAUAAAGCUAUAUUUAUAUAAUUAGUUUAAACACGUCAAAAGGUCAAAAAGCAAGAUUAAACCGCUUAGCUUAUAUAAACACCAUGACCGACUGUUUGACCUAAACUAAACAAAUUUAUAUUUAAAAUACAAAAUUACAUGAAUAAAACCGAAAUAGGGUUACAAUUCAUAAAAGUUAACAGCAACUCUGGUUAAUUAAUAAAGUUCCAGACCCAAAACUGAGAAAAGUGUCGGGCUUUUUAAAAUUUUAGACCGGGCUAAAGAUCAGUAAACUUUCGUCGAGGCUGGUAAAAUUUUUUGUAUCAUAAAACUCACCCGGGCUUUAGCCCACCGGAGCCCAUACAUAGAGAAAGUUGAGAACAUUUUGUUGAUUAUUCCCUUCCCUAGAAACUGCACUCCGCCAUCAAAGUACCUUUCAAAGACUCCAGCAUCAUUUCUUGAUUAUCAAAGUCUUCGUCUUUGUCAUCUCCUGCUCUGAAAGUGUUUCUAUUGCAGACCACAUAUUAGUAGACAGACUACUAAAAUUCAUCUAAAAUGACCUCUCUGCGUGGGCUCUUUUGAACAAUCAGGGUUGGACAUGAUUCUACACGCAUCAGAGAAAAACUAUCAGCUGGCUAAANUCUUCAAAAUUUAUUGUAGUUUCAAAAAGUAGCAUUUGAGAACUCAUUCUAUUCCCCUUUUAAAUACUUGGUCUUGGUCAAUACAAACACGAUUAAGACCGGUGUCAAUAUCCCUCAUAAUUUUUCCACUCCUUUGAAUGGCAUUCUACAAUCCACAUAUCAGACUCAUAAAUAAUUAGUUGAAAUCAUUACCAUAGUCCAUAGCGAAAAGACUUUCACCAUUGAACCAUUGCAUAGAUAAUUGAAGAAAGAAACUUCAACAUAUUUGCAUAUCUUUAUCUAUCUUUUUUUCUAGUCAUCAACAGGCACAAGCUGUUGAUUUUUAUAUGUUCUUAAUUGGUAUAAGCAUUUAAGGUGAGUGUUGAUAUUUCUCACUAAUCUUCUUCUGCUCUAAGUGACAUAUUAUUACAAUCCACAAAUUAGUAGACAGACUAAUAUGGUUAGUUGAGACCAUCAAUCUGGAGAACAGACUAAUACAUGUGUAGUAAUCUGAUCAUCAUUUAUUUGAUUACAAUAGAAAUUCGGCUUUGUUUAGUUCCAUCCUCGGGCUCUUCAUUUCUAAACAUAUUUGCUGAUACUUUUUAUUGUACAAUUUAGAAUAUUCCAUAAAAUUUUAUAUUCGGUGCUAGAUGAAUUUAUGUCUUGUUUUCAUUCCAUUCAUGAACUAAUGAAAAUUUUAAAAUUGGGUCAUAUUAGGCAGUGAUGCCACCUUUCUGGACCUGCAUUUCAUGACCACAAACUCCUAUUGUGCCAAAAAAUUCCAGCUGUUUCGUGAGAUUUUUCUACGUGCUCUUUUGUUCGGACUUGUUUGCUGAAUCCCACAAUAGACAAUAUUGAUGUUAACAACUCUUGCGUCAGUUACUAGACUCGUUGUUAGUAGCCCAUUCUUUACGGCAGACGUGGAAUUUACUUGAAGAAAUGAAGGUGUAAGAACAGGGGCGGAUCCAGCCUUCGCAUCUCACCCGGGCUGAAAGCCUGAAACACUUAUAACCUUGAAGGUAUACAGUGGAGGUGAAGAGGGGAAAAAAAUAUAUAUGGUACUGACAGUGACAUGGAAAUAUGGAUAUUAUUCUUUUAACCUGCUGCAGGGACUAUCAGCUGGUAAAUUCAUGUCAAAUCAAUUUUUUUGACUUUAUAUAUAUAUAUACUCAUUUACAUAUAAAAAAAAUAUAAAAUUUAAGAAUCUCAAAUAUUGGAGGUAGCCUGAAUAACAUUUGUUUGUCACUAAUACAAUAAAAAUUAAUUUUGUAUGAUCAGCUACAUAGACUAAAUCAUUUUAUUUUAUUUAUUUUAAACUAUAACUAAUAAUUCAUGUCAAAAUCAAGAUUAUAAAAAUUAAUAAUAUGACUACAAAAAUAAAAUAUAAACGUAAGGUAAUAACAUAUGGUAAACCUGAAUAUAUUUUAGUAACAAUUGUUUUGACAUAGUUAGAUUAAGGGAUUAAAUUAUUAUAUAAAAUAAUAAAAGUAGCUAUAUAUUAAAAAAAUAAAGCUAUAUUUAUAUAAUUAGUUUAAACACGUCAAAAGGUCAAAAAGCAAGAUUAAACCGCUUAGCUUAUAUAAACACCAUGACCGACUGUUUGACCUAAACUAAACAAAUUUAUAUUUAAAAUACAAAAUUACAUGAAUAAAACCGAAAUAGGGUUACAAUUCAUAAAAGUUAACAGCAACUCUGGUUAAUUAAUAAAGUUCCAGACCCAAAACUGAGAAAAGUGUCGGGCUUUUUAAAAUUUUAGACCGGGCUAAAGAUCAGUAAACUUUCGUCGAGGCUGGUAAAAUUUUUUGUAUCAUAAAACUCACCCGGGCUUUAGCCCACCGGAGCCCAUACAUAGAGAAAGUUGAGAACAUUUUGUUGAUUAUUCCCUUCCCUAGAAACUGCACUCCGCCAUCAAAGUACCUUUCAAAGACUCCAGCAUCAUUUCUUGAUUAUCAAAGUCUUCGUCUUUGUCAUCUCCUGCUCUGAAAGUGUUUCUAUUGCAGACCACAUAUUAGUAGACAGACUACUAAAAUUCAUCUAAAAUGACCUCUCUGCGUGGGCUCUUUUGAACAAUCAGGGUUGGACAUGAUUCUACACGCAUCAGAGAAAAACUAUCAGCUGGCUAAAGACCUCUCUGCAUCAACUCUAUUAAGAAAAGAAACUAUGGCUCAUACAGUUUAAGUUGAUAUCAAAUCGUAAAUGAGAAUACUUGCAGUUUUAAAUUACUGCACGCUAUUUUUUUUAACGAAAAUAUGUGCAGUUUUAACAUAGUCUAAUUAUUUUCUUGAUGACGGCUAUGCAAAUUGUGAUAGUUGAAUUUUUUUUAUGGUCUUUGACAAGCAUCAAGGAAAUUGUGAUAGUUGAAUUACCCUGAUUGUCAAAAACUACCUCGUAAUCAGAACGGGUUUUUUUUUGAGUUUGUUAAGGAUUCUCUCCAGGCAAAAGUUUCUCUUAUGCAGUUGAAGGUGAAAAUUAAGUCGUUGAAGAGGAAAUAUAAGUCUCUCAAAGAUUAUGAUGUUGUGUUUGACAAACCCAUGGAAGAGGAAUUGUUUCGCCUUUCCGAUAAGGUUUGGAGCCAAGGGAUUGAUAAUCAGGGUAAUGCUGCUAGCAAGGACAAGGAUAUAAGUAUCGAGAUCAAAGAGGAUGGAGUGAUUGAGGACUGUAGGAAGGAUAAGGAUACGAGCAUUGGGAUAAAUGAGGAUGGAGUGAAUGAGGCCGGUAGGAAGGAAAAGGAUACGAGAAUCGGGAUAAAUGGGGAUGGAGUGAAUGAGGACGGUAGGAAGGACAACGAUAUGAGCAUCGGGAUAAAUGGGGAUAUGGUAGAAGCCUCCAGGCUAAUGUGUCGAAGGGGAGGACAUGGAUGCUAUGGAAAUUUAGUUAGGAGGAAAUAUAAAUCAUGCUAACAGGAGCAGAUGAUGAACUUGAUUGCAAUGAAGAACUGAAGUUCCACAACGAGAUGAAGUCGACGAAGGAAGGUAGGAAGGACAAGGAUACGAUCAUCAGUCUUGUAUUUAGCUUGAUCGAAAAUAACUGUUCUCUUCAAAUUCUUUCCCUNUCUCUACUCUGUAGCUUACACAUCAUUGAUUCAUAUUAUUUUCCCUUAGGAACUUGAGAGACAUUUGGCAUCUAAAGAAGCUUCUCUCCCGCAAGAACCAUCACCAGAUGAUGAUAAUGCCGUUAACCUGCUUGUGCGGAUGCCGGAUGGCGGCCGGCAAGGCCGCAGAUUCCUCAAGUCCCACAAGCUUCAGGUAUUUAUUCCGUGACAAUAUUUUUCCAGUUAUUGGUUAAAAGUUGUAUAAUUGGUUGUUACUUGAUUUGCAGCAUCUUUUUGACUUCAUCGAUGUUGGUCGGUUGGUCAGACCUGGUACUUACAGACUGGUAAUCCUUCAUGUGCUUUUUUACCUUUCACACUUAAUUCUUGUGGGGGCACACUUAUAUUUUUACAAAGUUUUAAAUGACGAAUAAAUUCCAAAUAAUUUUUAUGGGGGACAGUCCCCCUUGCUAGAUCCCCUCCUGGUGUCCAAACUUUUUUUACAUUUCAUAAUUGAUUGUCUGGACCGGCAAAGAGCAAUGAAUAUUCAUUUUAGUCACAUAGGAGUGUCGGGGUUUGUAUUGUUGUUAUGCUUGAUAGUAUAUAGAGAGCUUAUUGACUAGUUGACUCAACAUCGUUUCUUUUUCCUUUCCCCCAUCUUCUCUGGUGAUUAAUGUUUGCGUGAUCCCACUAGUCCUUCCGCAAAAAAAAAAAGAAGUUAUAUUGUAUUUUUAAAAUGAAUUGCAUUUCAAACUAUUUGUUUGAUAAGUAGGGUACUCGUGUAAUUUAAUUGUAAUAUCGAUACCUUUUUUUGUAACACCAAAGAAAAAUUAGAAUCUUUAUAGUGUCAGGACUCUUGAUACUUGGUAGAUGCUUGAGAAGAAGGCUGUAUUUGAAGAUAUGGAGAAUGUGGUAACCAUAUGACUAAGGUCAACUAACUUUUGCUUGCUAAAGUGGAACUCUGUCAAAAAUUUAUCUGUAUCUAUCUCUUUUUUGUAGUCAUCAGUAGAUUUACUCUUCCAUAUGUAUCAGGGUCAAGUUGUUGAAAUAUAUCAGUCCUUAAUAGGUGUUAGCACAAUUUAGAUGAGCAAAAUAUUUAAGGAACGUAUGUACUUCAACUUGGCAUGCAAAACGAGUUAUACAAAUGGUAGAUUAGCUAGUUGGUAAUUUAAUGAGAAUCCUUUCCAUUGGACUUGAUUCAUUGAUAGAGAAGCAAAGCACAAUGUUACUUCCUGAUACAUAAUGUAUUUAUGCCUCGUAUAGAUAUAUUAUGAUUGUUAGAAUUAAACAUGUUUUAUUUUGCACAGGCAAGGCCGUAUCCAAGACGGGCUUUUGGUGUUGGUGAGAGCUCAACAACUUUUGAUGAACUUGGCCUGUCUGGCAGACAGGAGGCCUUGUUUCUGGAGUUAAUAUAGCAGAUAUAGUUAUCGUAAAAUUGUAAUAGGAUCUCGAAGAGUUUACCCAGAUGGACCAACUUUGUUUGUUAGUUGUAAAAGUUGUUUAGAGAUGGAUAUUUUGUCAAAGUUUGUAUCUAUUGGGUAUUUGGUCUUUUAGUCAGACUGUGGCUCAUACAGUUUGAAGUUGAUAUCAAAUCUUAGAUGAGAAUGUUUGCAGUUUGAAAUUACUGAACAUUGUUUCUUGAAUUCGAUAUCGAAUUUUAAACGAGAAUAUGUCCAGUUCCACUACAAGAGAAAGCGAUUCUACCAAUGGAAUUUGCUAAGGGAAAUUAGUCCGUUGGUAGUUCCCAACGGAUUUGUAAUGAUUUGACUAGUCAAUGUUCUGCCAACCAAGUCGCAACGAAAUACCCACGUUUAUUUACCAACGAAACGUUCCGUUAAGAAAUAUAACCACAUAAUGGAAUAGUAACAAAAGGCCAAGGAAUGAGCAACAGACUAGUAACGAAAAUAUCUGUUAUUACGUUCAUUGAUAUUCCGUUGAUAAAUACUAACAAUUCCGUUAGUAAUUGAUUAUUAGUUUUAUAACAUGGACAAUUGAUAUACACUACAUGAGCAGUCUCUUAUUUGACAUUUGUGUCAUGCUAAAGCCCAAUGGGCUUUAGUCGAUUAAAUUGAUUUGGGUUGUAGAAAACGGCCAAUAAUAUAAUGGACUUUGAUAUGUAUCGUAAAUAUUAAGUAAUUUUCUUGGAUUUAUGUAUAUAACAUAAUUGUUAAUUGGCUCAUCCUUAACUAGAAAUUUUAUAUUACAUUCUUAACUAGAAAUUUUAUAUUUAAAAAAAAUUAAUCUUUUAUGUGGUAUGUGGAUUUUGUAGUCAAAUGCGGUCAAUUUACUUAGCCUUUGAUCGGAUACCUACCCAAAACAUAAAAAUAUUUUUUAUUUUCGAUGAUCCAGCUAUACGGAUAUUAUUGUAAUGUGAUAAUAUUGAUUAAAUUUUUUUUUAAAAAAGUAGCAUUUUAUUUGGUAUGUGAAUUUUGUAGUCAAAUGCAAUUAAAUUACUUAGUCUCUAAUGGAAUACUUGCCCGAAACAUAAAACUAUUUUCUUAAAACACAAUUUGGACGAUCCAACCAUACAGAUGUUAUUAUAACGUGUUAAUAUUGGUUAAAAUAAUUUUUAAGAAUAUAUGUCUUUUAUUUGGUGUGUGGAUCUUGCAGUCAAAUGCGGUCAAAUUACUUAGCCUUCAAUCGAAUACUUACCCAAAACAUGAAACUGUUUUUUUAAAAAUCAUUUCGGACGAUCCAACCGUACGGAUAUUAUUGUAAUGUGAUAAUAUUGAUUAAAUUUGUUUUUGAAAAAUUUUAGCUUUUGAUUUGGUGCGUGGAUUUUGUAGUCAAAUGCGGUCAAACUACUUGGCCUUUAAUGAAAUACUUACACGAAACAUGAAAUUAUUUUUUUUUAAAACCAUUUUGGAUGAUCCAACCGUGCGGAUGUUAUUAUAACGUGUUAUAUUGAUUAAAAUAUUAUUUAAAAAAUAGCCUUUUAUUUGGUGUGUGGAUUUUGUAGUCAAAUGCUCAAAUUACUUAGCCUUUAAUCGAAUACUUACCUUAAACAUGAAACUAUUUUUAAAAAAAUUAUUUUGGAUGAUUCAAACUGUAGGGAUGUUAUUUUAACAUCUUAAUAUUGAUUAAAAUUAUUUUAAAACAAUUUAGUUUUUUUUUAUGUGUGAAUAUUUUAGUCAAGUACGAUAAAUUAUUUAUUUAGCCUUCAAUGAAAAAUUAAAAAUCCCGCACAGCCAAAAGUUUUCCCUCGUUUUGUGAAUCUUCCCCAGCCAUUUCCCCCCAACCCCAACCCCGAAAUUCACAAAACUCUCCCCCCAAAUUAGCUCGGCCUCUCCCAAAUCUCUAUCUCUCUUUGUAUAUCUUUAGGUGUGUUUUGUAGAGGCGGCCACCUCCAAAGCUUCAAAAUAAUCAAACUUAUCACCGCCGCUGUUCGAGAAUGAAUUUCUUUUAGGAGAUUCGUCGAUUUAGUUAUCAAAUUAGUUACCAUUAGGGUUCUACUCCGAUUUUCAAUAGUAUGAUGUUGGGGUUCGAUUGGUCGAUUGUCAUGUUUUAUAAGUUAUGUGGGUUCGAUUUUGAUGUUUUUACAAUUAGGUUUAUGUAUGUUUUUAUACGGGUUUCAUGUUCAUGUUUCGAUUUGUUGAUUUCCUAUUUUUCCUAUAUGUUAAUUUGUUAUUUGUGUGGAUUUUGGAUUUUGAUGUGUGUGUGUGUAAUGCCCUGUUUUUUUUUCAUUUUUUCAGGUUCGAACACUUCGAUUAGUAGCCGGAAAAACAACUGAUGCGGCAGUAGCGGCUAGCAAGGAGAUGAAUAACAAGAAAAGGCCGAUUUCGAGGUCAUCUCGUGCAAGUCUUCAGGUAUAGUUUUAUUCCUUUAUAUUUUUAAUCGACAUAAAUCUAACAAGUAAUUAUAGUUCUAACAAGUAAUUAUAGUUCUGAAUGGGGAGCUUAUUGUGAAAUUGAAUUGAGGGACAAGUUGUGUUAUUGGUUCCAGUAGAUAAAUUUAUGUUGACACUUGAUAUAUGCAUUUUUCCACUAUGAUGCUCCCUUUGGUUUGCUUAAGGUCAAGUACCGUUACUUAAUGCAUUUACAAGUAUUCCAGAACAAGUUUGUGCGCCAUAGUGCUACCUUAAUCUAUGAAUUUGAUGCCAGGCACUUUAGGUGUUAUCUCUUAUUGAUUUUUUAUUGGAGAGUUUGGGUGUUUUCUGGAAGAAGUAUAUAGUGAGAGCAGAGGUUUUCAUUUUCGUCAUGAUUUACUCUAAUGUUUCUAAUGUUCACCUGUUAACUGCUGUAGAUUUGGGCUUUAUCUAUUUCUACAUAAUUUAUUUUUGUCUUUGUUGCUGCUUCUUGAUAAUUUUCAAUAAUUGAAACUUUUGUUACAAAUAUAUGCUUGCUAGUCAAUUGUAUGUAGAAAUCUCUAACAAAACUUUAACUUUUACCUUUGAAAUUUAGUUACGAAUUUAAAGAAUUUGACUAGAACUUCAGUCGGUGGAUUCUUGACAUUUUUAUGUAAAUCAUAUAGUAUUCAGGAGUUACCCUGUAAAAUGCCCACAAAUCUUAAAUUAAUUAGAAGUCAAGUAAUAAGCUUAAGGCCUCUGAGACUGUGUCUGCAUUCUAGAUUUCAAUACAUUCUAUAUCAUAAUGUUGUUAAACUGCUUUUUAGCAAGUGCUUGAGUUUUUGGUAUCUACAUAUAAGAUUAUCUAAGAUAUCAAUUUAUUCAUGAGAGCAGGUUGAUGACAAGUACCGAUACAUGUGUGAAAAAAAAAAAGAUAACAUGGUCCAUGGAGUUGGUUCUUUGCAAUCUCUCUUUUAUAAGCCGGAGAUUCCUUGCAGUCCAUCCUUUGCUGAUGCAGAAAAUCAGAAGUUGCACGAAGAACUAAAUGUGAUGAAGGAUAAGAUGAAAGCAAUGGAGAAUCAAAUAGCUAUGGUUGUGUUAGUACUAGCUAGUUUUCAAGCCUCGUUAGUAAUUGAUGGCUCCUUUUAGAUAUAAUACUUGAACACUAUUGUAUCGGGUAACUCUUAUCUCAUUUUGAAGAUCGUAAAGAAACGUUUAUUAUGUAAAAAGAGUACACUUUUGUUAUUUCUUUAUUUGCAUUUUUAUAGACAUAAAAAUGAACAAUUCUAGAAAAUGAAAAAUUUGCACUGUAUUUGAGCAUGCAUACCAACAGAAUAUGUUUAUAUCUACUAACGGAAAUUUAACAACCGAAAGAGUCUUUUAGUUCUUUGUUGUUAAAUUUAACAAUUUUGACUAUACUUAACAUCAGAUUUUCCGUUGGGAAUAUGUUGCUAGAAUUGCCAACCGAAUAUUCUGUUGGCGGGAUGGUGUUUCUUUUGUUAUUUUGCAAAAUAGAGGUCUGUUACGAGAUUGUUACUACUCGGUUGCUAACUUAGCAACGGACACCUAAUUCGGUUGGCGAGGUGCUUCCCAACGACGUUUACUCUAACGGUCCAGUUCAGUGGGCAUUCCGUUAGGAAUCUCUUUUACCAACGGAUUUUCUUGAUUUGCCAACAUAAUAUUUCGUUGGGAAUAAUGAAAUUUCUUGUAGUGUUCUAACUUGAAAGUUAUGCAAAUUACGUUAAUAAUAUCAUCAAUUUUGAGUCUCUUGGUCUUCGGUCUUCUAUUGCAGCAUAUCAUACACUUCUCAAGUGAUUGAAAAUGAACUCUCUCCAAAAGGCAAGGGGUCUGUCGAAGUAGACCUGGAAUUGAUUUUACUUGAAGAAACAAUAAUAGUUCACCUUUUAAAGUUUUGGUCUUUGUCUUUUGUCUCUCAAAGUCUUGAUCUUUGUCGUUUACAUCUCAUACAAUUUGCUAUCGUAUUGAACACUUCACACAAUUUCAUACUAUCGUAUUGAACACUUCACACUUCACACAAUUCCAUAAUAUUGAAGAUUUUUGGCUUGAAAUAUUCUAGAGAAUAAGAUUGUACAUAAAAUCCAACAAUUUAUUUCCUUUUCUACAAUAUUACAACUCAUAUAUUUGUUGCCAAUGACUCAUUCAAUUCGCAUCAAUUACUAUCAUCUUCACUUUAUCAAAGAGUCUUGCUCUUUGUCCUCUACAUGCUUUUAUCACGGUCCCCAUGUUAGUGUGAUUUGAAAAUACUUGUGUUACAGUCCACAUAUUGAUAAAUAGACAAAUUAUAAUAUUUAGUUCAUUAAUGAAUAGAUAAGACGUUCAUGUGUAUGUAUUUGAAAAAUAAAAUAUUAUGAAGCUAAAUGAAUAAACACUUCUGAAGAGUAAAACGCGUUUCUGGUCCAUUUUGUAGCUUGAAGAAAUGAAGCAGAAGUCAAGAUUUUCUUGAAGAAACGAAAUUUUAUAAAAGUUAAAAACAAUUCGAUAAUUAUUGUCUUUUCAAAAAACGGGGCACGCAACACUCUUUUAUAUCAUCUUUCAAUUCUUAGAGUCUUCCUUCUGCUACUCCAAAAGUGGUUCUAUUAUAGGUCACAUAUUAAUAGAUCGAUACAAAUUUAUUAAAAAGAUCCUUAUUUUCAACGAUCAAUAUCAGUUUGACUAUAAAUUUAUCUGAAAUGACCCUUGUUAAUGGACUCUAGCUUAUAGGGUCAAACUUGGCUAUACAUGCCUCGGAGAAAAUUCAUCAGUUCGUAGAAGAGACCUUUCUGCAUCAACUCUAUGAAAAAUGCAGCACUUAUCAUCUAAAUAAAAAUUAGUAAGACUAUCUUAGAUUCUCUGAAGUGUUUAUAUUGCAGCCGCUUGUAUUGAAUACACACAUAAAUAACCACACAUAAUCAGGAAGGUUCGAAAUUUUUUGGUUUAACCAUAUCACCAACAUGAAGAAAAGACUUUCAAGCGUCAUAAUAGCUAAGAGCAUCUCCAACGGCAUUGGCUAUAAUCGUUGGCUAAAUUAGACAUGUAAGACAUUAUGUAAAAUUUGCUGAACCUGUAAGACAUUUUGCUUCAAUGGUAUUGGCUAUAUUAAUUAGUUGGCUAUAAUUUAAAAAUAGUAUGUUAUUAAUAUUUUAAAUUGUUAAAAUAGAAUAUAUCAGUUCAAUAUGGUAAUAAAUGAUUUACAAUCUUCCUACAGAUUUUCUUACAAACCUGUAGAGGUUCAACAAAUUUAGUCAUCCAUAGGAGGUUGGCUAAAUUUAUAGACAACAGCUGAGCAUGGUUGGAGGUGAGUUUUUGGAGCUGUUACCUAAAUUUUUUUAUUUUAAGUAUGUUAACUCACAUUUUAGCCAAGGGUUUUAGAUGGUUGGAGAUGCUUUGAGAGUUUUUUAUAUUCAGGAUAGCCCCGGUCUAGAUUAUUAUAAAAAACUUGUUUAUAUGGAGACAUAAUAAAGGUCCCAGAAUUUUUUACUCUUCAAGAUUUCCGUUUCUAGCCAAAUUUUUUGACCAUAAAUAAUAUAUUGGUUUUACCUGAAAACAAAAUUUAAAGAAAAUUCAAACUUUUUUAUUAGAGUACUUCUUUUCUUUUAUUAUUACUUCUUUUCUUUUAUUUUGAAAUUGCAAAACAGCUCAAAGUAGUUCUAAAAGAAUCAUUCUCCCCGCUAGGAUCAGUUACAAUUAAGAUUGACAAGAUGUUUUAGCUGCGAGUUCUUCAAAUUAUUGCUCGUAAGGUCCAUGACAGCUUAGAUAGUCACCAAAGCUUUGGCCUGUGGAUUAAGUUGAUGAAAUCUAGUGCAUUAAAAUCAAUGACAGCACUAUUUUAUGGGAUUGAUGCUCGCUCUUAAUAUUAUGCGUUUUUCUAAUGUGUGUGCCCAAAGACACACAAUAAACACUAAAUUUGAUAAAAAAAAUCGUAAUAUUAGUCAUUCCGCUCAUAAAUUUCAACCAGAGAAGAAAGAGCAUCGUGACUGUCAUUGUAUCCUUAAAAUUUGUUCGAUUAGGUUUUUUACAUAGUUUGCGCGUGGUCAUCAGGGUAGGCCUUCAUUAUAUUAAGCCAAUCUAGCUAGUAAUUCCAUAUUAAACAAGUUUAAAAUUUUCAAAUUUUGAUCUUAAUAAAUUUGUAAAAAUAGUAAACUUUUUCUUAUUUAUGAUAUUCACAAAUCUCUUACUUUUUUAUUACUGUAUUCAACUAAAUAUUUUUUAUAAACACUCAUAAAUGCAUCACAUCAGUUAUGAAAUUUAAAACAAAUAGUUUAUAGCCCGUGUAAGGCACGGGAGUUUUUUAAUUAUUUAUAAAUUUCUUAAAUAUAUUUUAAAUGGUGUGAAAAAAUUUAAUUUAUAAAUAAUAAAUUAAAAUUUUCAAUAAAAUAAAAUUCGAAAUUAUAAUUUGUUUGUAAGUUAGAACUGUGGUAAAUACAUCAUCAAGCCCAUUAAUGGUUUCAAAUAAACUAUUGUAAUGAAGCCAUUCUUUUUCUCGUAUGUACCGUGGCAAAGAAUUAAAUUCUGUUUAUCAAAUUUUAAUAUAUUUUGAGUGGAAUACGUUAUUGCCAACUCUUAUUAGAUUAUAUUUAUAAAUGUAUUUUAUAUUAGAAUUAUUAUAGUGUGAUUUAAAUAGUCCGCAAGGGUUAGUUUAGCUGGUUAAAAAGAGGACAUGUAUCCUCUUGGUCACAGGUUCGACUCUCAAAGGGUGGAUUAACGCUAUUGCGUGAUCCACUCCCAAAGGGUGGAUUAACCCUCCAAAGGGUAGCUGUUGCGGGUUCCUAGAUUACAAAAAAAUAAAAAAAUAUAUAAUGUGAUUUAAAUAUUUUUCAAAAAAUUUAUAUGGUUCCAAAUUAAAAUUGAUAAACAUAAUUUGUUGUGAUUUAAAUAUUUUUCAAAAAAUUUAUAUGGUUUCAAAUUAAAAUUGAUAAACAUAAUUUGUUUUUGAAUUAAGAAAAGGAAUCAUAAACAUGCAAUAAGAAGGUAGAAUCUAUUUUGGAUUAAGAAAAAGUUUUUGUAUUUGCUAAUCACAUAAAUCCGGCUUAUUAAUUUUAAAAUAUAUUAUAAAAAAAUUGUGACGGUGAGAUUUAUAUGAUUAAAAAAUUUUUGUAUUUGCUAAUCACAUAAAUCCGGCUUAUUAAUUUUAAAAUAUAUUAUAAAAAAAUUGUGACGGUGAGAUUUAUAUGAUUCUACGAAUAAAACUGGUAGAAAAUAUUUAUUUGGGAUUAAAAAAAUCAUAUACACGUGAAAGACAUAAUUUGUUUUGGAUUCAGAAAAAAAAUUAUAAAUAUGCAAGGUGAUAUCAGUUGCCUUGUAGAACAGAAGUUGAUUUUCGAAUCUAACGGUGCUUAUUUGUUCAAUAUAAGAUGCAACGGAUGAUAAACUUUUGGACCAGAGAACCAUGCGACCAAAUUAUCUCCCUUACGCUUAUUAUAUAUAAGUAUAUAAUAUGUCCAAUUUCUUUGAGAAAGAUGGUUGUAUAAUUUUUAGUUUAAAAUUUUAAUUAUUUUUAUUUUUAAUAUAAUUUACAACUAAAAAGUUUUAUUAUAUUUUGACUGCUUUGUAAUACAAUUAAAUAUAUCUUAAAUACACUUUUUCCUAUAUAUAUACGCUAACCUCGAGAGAUGUUGAAGAUCGUCCGAAACAAAAUUUGAAAGGGAAAAUGAAAAUGAGGAAUUGCAACCUCUGUUUUUUCACCAUCAGUAUGAUGCUCAUCUUCUUGAAGUUGCAGCACCACCUGGUGGCUUCUUCAUUAAGCCCCCACUUGCAGAAACUUGCCUUGUUUCACCUUAAGCAAAGCUUCACAAUCACUCCUCCUCGCUUCCCUUGCUCCUAUUAUUCCUACGAAGAUAAUGAGGGGUAUGAAAUUCCUUCUCGGCCAAAGACAAUGAGUUGGAGCAUGAGUACUGAUCACUGCACAUGGGAUGGAGUUAGCUGCGACAACAAGACAGGGGAUGUUAUCGGACUGGAUUUAAGUUGCAGUCAGCUGGAAGGAGCCAUUCUUCCUAACAGCACUCUCUUCCAACUCUCUCAUCUCCGCUUCCUCAAUCUUUCUCAUAACAACUUUUCCCUCUCCAGUCAGUUCCCUCCGGAAUUUGGUUUCUUUGCAAAAGGUCUGACGCAUCUCAACCUCUCUAAUAGUUAUUUAUCAGGGAGAGUUCCCUCUGGAAUCUCUCAUUUGUAUAAACUAGUCUCACUUGAUCUCAGUGACAAUGAUGGGACUAAACUUGAAGAAGAAGUAUUUAAAUCAAUGUUGCAGAAUUUAACGCAUCUCGGAGUGCUUAAUCUUAAUAACGUUAAUAUCUCCUCUAUUUUUCCCGUGAAUAUCUCUACUUCUUUAAGAGUUCUUCAAUUGUUGUAUACUGGUAUACACGGAGUAGUACCCCAAGAGGUUUUCCACCUUCCCAACUUGGAAUUACUUGAUUUAUUAUAUAAUUACGACCUGAGAGCUACAUUACCCAAAGUUAAGUGGGGAAGUAAAGCUACCCUCCAACACCUUCAUCUUUCAGAAAUCAACAUAGAUGGAGGUAUACCUGACUCAAUAGACUUUUUAAAGGACUCAUUAGUCAGUUUGUAUCUGGGCGGCUGUAAUUUGUCUGGGCCUAUACCAAGAUCCAUUGGGCACCUCGUUCAACUUACUCAGUUGGGCCUCCAUGAUAAUAAUCUCAAUGGCCCAAUUUUAACUUUUUUUACCAACCUUACAGACUUAAGAUAUAUCUACCUUGAAGGUAACAAUUUUACGGGUCCGUUUCCCUCUUUUCUUGCCCACUCCAGUAAACUAGUUGUGUUGCAUAUUGAGAGUAAUAGCUUUACUGGAUCCCUACCUCGUUCGUUGUUUCACCAUCCAUCCUUAGAGUACUUGUUUCUGGAACUUAAUGCAUUCACGGGUCCACUACAUGAAUUUGAUUCUUCUCGGUCCCGGCUGCAAUAUUUUUCUUGUUCCAGCAAUUUACUCAAUGGAUCCAUUCCACAUUCAUUUUCUCAACUUGUCAAUCGCACUGACCUAGAUUUUUCUUCAAACAAUUUCACCGGGGUUUUGGAUUUGGAAAUGUUUUCAGGUCUCGAAUUUCUAGAACGUCUUGAUCUUUCUGAUAACAGUCUUUCAGUGACAAGUACAAUCAGUGGCACCCUCCCUCCUACGCUUAUAUACUUGGGCUUGUCUUCUUGCAACAUGAAAGAGUUUCCUCGCUUUUGAACAGAUGCAAACAUCUUCCUGGAUUCUAUAGACCUGUCAAACAAUAAAAUUGACGGGGAAAUUCCACACUGGAUUGGGUCGCUGGGGGUGUCCUAUCUGAAUCUUUCUCACAACAAACUAAUAGGCGGUCUUGAGCAACUGCCUUGGGGUUAUAUUAAUUAUCUUGAUCUCCAAGACAAUAAGCUGAAUGGAUCGUUGCCCACCUUGAUGUGUAAUUCCAGCUCUCUUGAGAUUCUAAAUCUCUCUCACAACAAUUUGAGUGGUGUACUCCCCAUUUGUCAUACAAAUUUGACUCAGCUUUCGGUGUUGGAUCUGCGGAGGAAUAAAAUUCAAGGAAACAUUCCAGCAACCUUGUCAAAUUUCCAUAAUCUGGAAACCAUUAAUAUGAAUGGAAACCAAUUACAAGGAAGCAUUCCUUCUUCAUUUGCUGAAUUUGAUUCUUUAGCCGUUCUUGAUCUUGGAAAUAAUCAGAUAAAUGAUACAUUCCCCCGGUGUUUGGAAGCUCUUCCAAAUCUCCAAGUUCUUGUUCUCAAAUCUAACAAGUUUUGUGGUCUUAUAAACACGAGUUCUAAGAUUGUACACCCAUUUCCUAGCUUGAGAAUCAUUGAUCUGUCGGACAAUGAGUUUUCAGGUCCACUGCCAGCAAAAUACUUCAGAAACUUCAAGGCUAUAAUGAAUAGUGAUGUAAGCAAAAUAGAUCGUAGUUAUAUGAAUCAUAGUUUCUAUUACAGUGAUUCCACGGCUCUGGUGAUUAAAGGAGUAGUCAUAGAGUUGGUAAAGAUAUUAACUAUUUUUACAACCAUGGAUGUGUCAAGGAACCAGUUUGAAGGGGAGAUUGUAGAAUCAAUUGGAAAUCUGGUGUCACUUAGAUAUCUCAAUUUAUCACAUAAUCAUCUCAGAGGCCACAUACCACGGUCGAUUGGAAAAUUGACUGUGCUGGAGUCACUAGACCUCUCAUCCAAUGAACUUGAAGGAGAAAUUCCUCCGCAACUCACUGGUUUAUAUUCACUUGCAGUUCUAAAUCUUUCUUGCAACCAACUUAGAGGCCGUAUACCAGAAGGGUCACAAUUCAAUACGUUUGAAAUCUACAGCUACGCCGGGAACUUUGAAUUGUGUGGAAAACCCUUGUCAAAAAAGUGUGAAAAUUAUGUGAGGGUACACAAAGAAGACGAAGAAGAUGAGGAUGAAUAUUACUUUUUCAGUGGUUUUACAUGGGAAGCGGUGGUGAUUGGAUAUGGGUUUGGAGUGGUGCCUGCAUUUAUCGCCGGGUACUUGAUGUUGCUGGCACGGAAACCAAAAUGGUUUGCUGGAAUCAUUGGCAGGGAAUUGGGCCUCAAGAUCAGGAGGAUGGAGAUUAGAAUGCGAUAACUACAGGUUUGGUGUAAUCUGUAUCCCAUUCCCAGGUCUUGAAAAUUCUGUAAUAAUAUAGUAAUAUCUGCUCUCAUAUAAUUCUAUAUUUGCAGAUUCAGAUGGGACAAGCAGGAUUCAGAUGCAUUGCAUUGGAUUCAGAUGGGACAAGCAGGAUACAAGUUAUGUAGUAUUGUUUUGUUCCAGCUCUUAUCUGAUCUGCAAUCAAGUUAAUGAACCACUACCUCAGUUGUUAAGCAUCUUUCAGCAUUUUAAUUUUACAACUCACAAUAAAAGAUUACAUGUGUAUUAAUCUGAUCAUCAUUGGUUUAGAUCAAUAUAGAAGUUCGGCUUUGUUUAUUUCUAUCCCGGGCUCCUCAUUUUUAGAACAUAUUUGUUGAUACUUUUUAUGGAACGGUUAAGAAUAUUCCAUAGAUUUUUAUAUUCAGUGCUAGAUGAUUUUAUGUCCUGUUUUCAUUCCAAUUUCCGUUCAUGAACUAAUUAAAAAUCUGAAAGUGGGUCAUAUCUGGCAGUGAUGCCCACCUUUCUGGACCUGAAUUUCAUGACCACACAAACUCCAAUUCUGCCCAAAAAUUGCAGCUGUUUCGUAAAAUAUUUUUACGUGCUCUUUUGUUUGGACUUGUUUGCUGGACCAUGCAUAUGUUUUGAUACAAACAUCUUCGUGUAUGUUAACACUCUUGUGUCAGUUUCUGGACUCAUUGUUAGUAGCCCAUUCUUUACGGCAGACAUUGAAUUGGAUUUACUUGAAGAAAUGAAGGUUUAAGAAAGUUGAGAACAAUUUGUUGAUAAUUUCCUUCCCUAGAAACUGCACUCCAGCAUCAAAGUACCUUUCAAAGACUCCAGACAUCAUCUCUUGAUUAUCGAAGACUUGGUCUUGCAUAUACUGAUAUACAGUGAAUAUAGAUUUCUUUCAUUUCCUUGAAAUUGCAUUUUUGGAAGUAGCUCUCCAGACUCAUUCCCGUCACUUCUUAAAGUCUUAUUCCUCCUCAAUACUACAUACACGUAAUAUCACACCACUUUGCUCAUGCUCAGAUGGGUUUUUCUUACAAACCACAUAUGUUCACUUCUCAGAGUCUUAGUCCUCGUCAAUGUAUAGAGAUAAUAUCUCACCAUUUGCUAGUGCUACAAAUGGGCUUCUCCUACAACCACACAUAAUCGGAGAAAAGUCUGUCAAGUGUCAAGUGGACUUGAAAGACCCUUGUGCAUGGAUUAUUGUAUGUCAUGAAUGCCUUCUGAUAUCCCUGAAAGUGCAAGCAAGUUAUAAAAGUAGCUGGGCAGACUCUUUCUCAUCAAUACAUUCACAUUUAAAGCGGGCGUUGAUAUGCCUCCCUAAUUUUCUAAUGCCCUAGACGGAAUUCUAUUACAAUCCACAUAUGAUGGGUAGCGAUCAUCAAUUCAAAGAAGAGACUAUCAGCAGCUUGCAGGAAAUGUCCCCUCUGCAUGGAUUAUCGAAGAAAGGAACUUAUACCUAUAAAGAUGUAGAAAACCAAUGGUAAGCAUAACUGCAUAUAAGAUACAAAACUAAAUUUAAUACAAGACUCGUUCUGAGCAUUGGAAAAUAUAAUUCAUCCUGGUCUUCGUCUUCUACUUCUCCAAAUAUGCUUUUAUUGCAGCCAAUGUAUUAGUGAAAAGAAUUAAAUUUAAAUUAAUUGUAGACCGCAAAUAUAAGAUUAGGAGAGUUUCUACAACCCACAAAUUAGUAGACAGACUAAUAUGGUUAGUUGAGACCAUCAAUCUGGAGAAACUGUUUCUACAAUGACCCAUAUGUAUGAAUUAUUGAAGAAAGAAACUUAUACCUACAAUGUAAAGGAAAUGGUCACGAGUAUAUUGCAUUUUUAAUCCAAAUUGUAUAUGAUUCUCUCUGUGCUACUGAUAGUUAAUAAUAAAUCUACAACGGAACUUGCAGUUAAUCAAGGUAUUUAAGUCUACCUUUCUACAUUGUUGAAUAGUUUGAAUUAAAUAAUUGUAAUAAAUUUUUUGCUGGAUGCUGUGUGAGUUUACCAGAGCUUAUCACGGUGAGAAGUUCACUAAAGCUCUUGGAAUUAGUAAAUAAAAACUCAGGGCAGUGAAUUAGAAGUCUGAGUACAAGGCAAUGAGCAGGAAACAACAUAGGGAGUUUACAACUAGAAGUAUCUAUUCUCCCCCAGUCUUUUUGUGAACAUCAAGAGGCCAUUCAUAUUGCUCACAAACCAGUUAAAAGUGGCAGGACUACACAUAAUGAAUCACACAGUCACUUUAUGUGAGAAAAGAAAAUUGUCAGGACUGCAAUGCAUUUCUAGCCCAUUUUGUACAGCAGCUCAAACGUUUAAAAAACUUCAUUAAUUAUUUUCUUUUAUUGAAACCACACUCAUCCAUCAAAGUAGCUCUCAAAGUCUAAUUUCCAUCACCUUCUGAUUCUCAAAGUCUUCUUCUUCGUCUUAUAUUGCACGCCACAUAUUAGUAGACAUACUACAUCAACUCUGUAGAAAGAAACAAUCUAUAGUAGUUGAUGUACAAUGUUAUUAUGUAAAUGUAUAAUAUCAAAAUUAGGAAUAGAAAUCACGCCCUAAUAAUUAACCCUCUGCAGGGGUUAUUAAAGAAAGCAGCUUAUAACUUUAGUUGCUGAACAUUUGUGUGGGCCAAAUUCAAUUUUACACAUCAUUACUAGAUUUACACAUGGUAUUAGACAUCAGUACUAGUAUAAGAUGUUAAUCAAGUUUUGGAAUUUCUUUUAUUUCAGAAAACAAGUUUUUAACUCUCUUUUUUUUUUGUGGUAUUAAUUAUUUAUAUCACGCAUUUGAGCUUUAAAAUUAGCUCUAAAUAAAAGUUGAUUUUCGCUCAAAGAAACAAUGAUGUAUAAGAAGAUUUUCAGAACUGAAUUAUUUCUUUCCAUUUUUACAGUUCCAUUCAAGAACCGAAAGCAGCUCACAAAGACUCACUACAUCAUCUUUCAAUUCUCAUAGUGUUGGUCUUUGUCUUCUGCUGCUCAAAAAUUCUAUUACAGCCCACAUAUCAGUAUCAUAUACCUAAUUAUAAAUAGUAUUUAACACUUAACACCAUUAAAGAUUUGUCUCAGAGACUUACUUCCAUCACCUUAUGGUUCUCAAACUCUUCGUCUUCUAAUGCUCCAAAAGUUCUAUUAGUGCAGGCCACAUAUUGGUAAACAGACUACAAUUCAUCCAAAAUGACCCUCUUAUUGGACACUUUGAACACCUCUGUCUGUAUAUGCAUUGGAGAAGAAUUAUCAGCUCGUUAAAAUAACCUCUUCGCAUCAACUCUAUGGAAAGAAGCAAUUCAUACCUAAAGUACAAUGUUUGGAUAAAAUUAGGGAUAGCAACCGCACGCUAAUUUUUUAGUUGAAGCAGGCUACCUUAGUGUAAUUAACUGAACAUCCCCGUAAUUUCUUGACAGGCCACAAUUAAGGAAGUUUACAGAAUUACAUUCCAGAAGUAGCUCCCUGAGACAGAUUCGCAUCAUCUUUCAAUCUUCAAAGUUCUUUAUACUUAUAUUAUAUUUCAUGUUUUAUUGUAAUGAACAUAGCAGUUUCCUGUUCAGUAAUAUUCCAGGCUCAGGUUCUUCAUUCCAAGUCUCUGUUACAUGUUUGCUACUAAAACGUAUUAAACAGUUAUUAGUUUAUGACUGUAUUCCAUCUUGAAAGGAGAUCUCAAAGACUCAUUCCCAUAAUCUUCAGAAUCUCAAGUCUUGAUGAACUUGGCCUUCAUCAUAUUUGUACUCUUGUAAUUCCAUAUUAAUCAAGUUUAAAUAUUAAAAUUUUUAAUUUUAGUAAAUUUGUAAAAAUAGUAAAAUUUGUCUUAUUUAUAAUAUUUAUAAAUCUCUUACUUUCCUGUUACUGUAUUCAACUUAAUAAUUUUUACAAACACUGUGCAUCACAUAAGUUAUGUAAAUUUAGAACAAAUUAUGUCCAAUUUAUUUAAGAGAGAUUGUUAUAUUGUUUUUACUUUAAAAUUAAUGGUAUCUUUUAUUUUUAAUAUAAUUUACAGCUAAAAAUAUUUGAUAUAUUUUCACACUGCUUCUUAUUUUUGUAAUAUGACUAAACAUAUCUUAAAUACACUUUUUUCCUAUAUAUAUGCUAGCCUCUCGAGAUGUUGAAUAGAUCAUCCCAAACAAAAAAAUUUAAGGGAAAUAGAAAAUGAGGAAUUCCAUCCUCUGUUUUUCCACCAUCAGUUUGUUGCUCAUCUUCCUGCAGUUGCAGCACAACCUAGUGGCUUCUUCAUUAAGUCCCCACUUGCAGAAACUUGCCUUGUUCCACUUUAACCAAACCUUAACAAUCAGUACUACUAGCUGGGAUUGCGAGUACUAUUCCUACGAUGGAUAUUACGAAAUUCCUUCACGGGCAAAGACAAAGAAUUGGAGCAUGAGUUCCGAUCACUGCACAUGGGAGGGAGUUAGCUGCGACGACAAGACAGGGGACGUUAUCGGACUGGAUUUAAGUUGCAGUCAGCUGGAAGGAGCCAUUCUUUCUAACAGCACCCUCUUCCAGCUCUCUCAACUCCGCUUCCUCAAUCUUUCUCACAACGGCUUUUACAAUCAGUUCCCUCAGGAAUUUGGUUUCUUUGCAAAAGGUUUGACGCAUCUCAAUCUCUCUCGUACUGGAUUAUCAGGGAGAGUUCCCUCUGGAAUCUCUCAUUUGUAUAAACUGGUCUCACUUGAUCUCGGUCGCAACUAUAGGGCUUGGGCUAAACUUGAAGAAGAAGUGUUUAAAUCACUGUUGCAGAAUUUAACUCAUCUUGAAGUGCUUAAUCUUGAAGGGGUUAGCAUCUCCUCUGUUUUGCCCCUGAAUAUCUCUACUUCUUUAAGAUUUCUUGCUCUUGCGGGAACUGAAAUACACGGAGUAGUACCUCAAGAGGUUUUCCACCUUCCCAACUUGGAAUUUCUUCGUUUAUCAUAUAAUGACCACCUGAGAGUAACAUUACCCAAAGUUAAGUGGGGAAGUAGUGCUACUCUCCAACACCUUCAACUUUCAGGCGUCAACAUAGAUGGAGGUAUGCCUGACUCAAUAGGCUUUUUGGAGUCAUUAGUCAGUUUACAUCUGAUCCAGUGUAAUUUGUCUGGGCCGAUACCAAAAUUCAUUGGGCAACUCGUUCAACUUACUCACUUGGGCCUGGCUGCUAAUAAUCUCAGUGGCCCAAUUCUAACUUUUUUAACACGCCUUGCAGACUUCAGAUCUAUCUUCCCUUGAGCAUAACAAUUUUACUGGUCCGUUUCCCUCUUUUCUUGCCCACUCCAGUAAACUAGUUGAGUUGUAUCUUCAUAAUAAUAGCUUUACUGGAUCCCUACCUCGUUCGUUGUUUCACCAUCCAUCCUUAGAGAUCUUGAAUCUGGCAUAUAAUGCAUUCACGGGUCCACUACAUGAAUUUCAUUCUUCUUUGUCACGAUUGCGAUCUUUUUAUUGUUCCAGCAAUUUACUCAAUGGAUCCAUUCCACAUUCAUUUUCUCAACUUGUGAAUCUCACUGAACUAGAUCUUUCAUCAAACAAUUUCACCGGGGUUUUGGAUUUGGAAAUGUUUUCAGGCCUCAAAUCUCUAGGAAUUCUUCAUCUUUCUUAUAAUAGUCUUUCAGUGAGAACUACAACUAUGGCCACUCUCCCUCCUACGCUUAACGACUUGGCCUUGUCAUCUUGCAACAUGAAAGAGUUUCCUCACUUUUCAAGAGAUGCAAACAUCUUCCUCGAUUUUGUAGACCUAUCAAACAACAAAAUUGAAGGGGAAAUUCCACACUGGAUUGGGUCGGUGGGGAGGUACCCUUUCUAUCCAAUCCAUUAUCUGAAUCUUUCUCACAACGGACUAAUAUGCGGUCUUGAGCAACUGCCUUGGAGUCAUGUUGAAUUUCUUGAUCUCCAAUACAAUAAGCUGAAUGGAUCAUUGCCCACCUUGAUGUGUAAUUCCAGCUCUCUCCGGGUUCUAAAUCUCUCUCACAACAAGUUGAGUGGUGUACUCCCCAUUUGCCAUACAAAUUUGACUUCGCUUCGCGUGUUGGAUCUGCGGAGGAAUAAAAUUCAAGGAAACAUUCCAGCAACCUUGUCAAAUUUCCGUAACCUGGAAACUGUUAAUUUGAAUGGAAACCGAUUAGAAGGAAGCAUUCCUUCUUCUUUUGCUGGAUUUGAUUCUUUAGCCGUUCUUGAUCUUGGAAAUAAUCAGAUAAAUGAUACAUUCCCCCAGUGUUUGGAAGCUCUUCCCAAUCUCCAAGUUCUUGUUCUCAAAUCAAACAAGUUUUAUGGUCUUAUAAACACGAGUUCGAAGAUUGUACACCCAUUUCCAAGCUUGAGAAUCAUUGAUCUGUCGAAAAAUGAGUUUUCAGGUCCACUGCCAGCAAAAUACUUCAGAAACUUCAAGGCUAUGAUGGAUAGUGAUGUAAGCAAAAUAGAUCGUAGUUAUAUGAAUUAUGGUUCCUAUUACAGUGAUUCCACGACUCUGGUGAUUAAAGGAGUAGACAUGGAGUUGGUAAAGAUAUUAACUAUUUUUACAACCAUGGAUGUAUCAAGGAACCAUUUUGAAGGGGAGAUUGUAGAAUCAAUCGGAAAUCUAGUGUCACUUAGAGAUCUCAAUUUAUCUUACAAUCAUCUCACAGGCCACAUACCACGCUCGAUUGGAAAAUUGACUGUGUUGGAGUCACUAGACCUCUCAUCCAAUGAACUUGAAGGAGAAAUUCCUUCGCAACUCACUGGUUUAUAUUCACUUGCAGUUCUAAAUCUGUCUUGCAACCAACUCAGCGGUCAUAUUCCACAAGGUUCUCAGUUUAAUACAUUUGAUGCUGAUAGCUAUGGUGGUAACUUCGGGCUGUGUGGAAAUCCAUUGUCCAAAACGUGUGAACAAGAUAUUGUGGAGCAAGAAGACGAAGAAGAUGAGGAUGAAUGUCACUUUUUCUGUGGUUUUACUUGGGAAGCGGUGGUGAUUGGAUAUGGGUGUGGAGUAGUGCCUGCAUUUAUCAGUGGGUACCUGAUGUUGCUGGCACGGAAACCAAAAUGGUUUGCUGGAAUCAUUGGCAGGGAAUUGGGGCUCAAGAUCAGGAGGAUGGAAAUUAGAAUGCGAUACUAAAGGUUUGCUGUAAUCUGUAUCACAUUCCCAGGUCUUGAAUAUUCUGUAAUAAUAUAGUAAUAUCUGC